rnacentral:lncRNA from 1 species
GUGGUGGCUUCUCUCCCUUAGGUGGUUUGCCAACUGGGGUUGGUGGCUUGUGUUCUGGGAGUGGCUUCUCCCCCUUGGGAGGUUUUUCCAAUGGGGUUGGUUUGUGUUCAGGAGGUGGCUUCUCCACUGGAGGCUUGUGUUCAGGAGGUGGCUUCUCCACCGGAGGCUUGUGUUCAGGUGGUGGCUUCUCCACCGGAGGCUUAUGCUCUGGUGGUGGCUUCUCGAAUGGGGGAUGCUUAGGAUAAUCAGCAAGUGAGGGGGCGGUGAGAACCACCAGGCCAAGCAACACCACUAGCAAAUAUGUAGGAGACAUCUUUGGGUUUGGGCUCAGAUGGUGCAAAACUAGGAGAAUUGGCUAGCCUUUUAUAGCGGAUCGUACCCAAUAAUGAAAUGACACGUGUCAUUAUGACCCAUGUGUAAUGGGGUCGAUUUGGGUCCUACAGUGUUGAAAACUUCGACAUCCACUUUUGGCCUUUUGCUUUCUCUACAGCCGCCUUGCUUUUUCCCUCUUUCCUUUUGUUUUCCUCCUGCCCCAUUCUAUCAACUAAACACAAUUAUGUAGUUGUUUAAUUCUUAAAUGAGAUAUUAUCCGUCAAUCGUAUUAUAUUUUAUCAAGAGAGAACGGAGUGCAAUGUGGCUGUAAUUUUAUCGUUUAGUUUUAUCUCUUGGACCACUGCAUUUUUGUUAAGAGGUGCAAUAAUACACGUCUUUAUCUGCCAUUCAAUAUUUACAGUAAAGAGAGGGCACAAAACUCUUCACUUCGCACCAUAAUUAUUUUGUUUUCUGGACACCCCGGGGCCCUUUGGUUGGUUUGGGGGUCAGAAAGUGAACAUCAUAGGGGGUUUUUCCCUUAUGUGCAUUUGUAUCUGAUGGCUUUAACUCGCCUUGUUACUACAAAGAAACUGUCACAGAUAGGAACUUAUUCCAGGCUGAGUAUCUCCUCAUAGACCCUAUAAAAGAAGACAAGUCAUAAUGAACAUCUAACCUUUGUUCAAUUUGAUUCAAUGCCCCCAUUGUGUCCAUCUCACAAAUCUGAAUUAUUAUAUCCAUUGAAUACAUAAAUUAAUGAAGAAAAUAUGAAACCCAAGAUACAUCUCUGCACAACCUCAACCCUGGUUGCUAUGUUUCCCUUCUAUUCACAUGAUUUGAUGCUAAUUGCCAAACUUGCAACAAGCCCUGAGUUUGACACCUAGUAUCGAUGGGCGAAUUUAAAGUCUCCUCCAAACAUAUAUUCCACAGCUUGAAGCUCACAGAAGAUGUUACAGGCAGGGAAAAACCUUCAGAGUUCGCUACCAAAGAUAAUUAUUAAGGAGAUAUCACAAAGAGAAUUCCAAGGGGUCUGAAUCAAAGACAAAUUGGUCGUUCGUGGGGGUUCUUACUUUCUUUUGGGUAUAACUCACUGAGGGCACUGUCUUUGUUAUUUGCAUUUCACAUUUAGAGUUCUGUUCUGGAAACAUAUAAAAGGAGCAUCAUUUUGUUCUUGGGUAACCCAUAGUCGUGAGUGGGUCCAUUUGCAUGCUACUUAGUUGAAAAGUUGGACCAUUUGCUCCGACGCCUACCUCCCGGAUUCCAUGCUCGGAUAAAACAAGAAUAAAAAAAAUAUUUAUAAUUUACAAAUGGGGGAAAGAAAAAAAUGUCAACAACAAACCAGGAAAAAAGAGUAGUAAAAUUCAUGUCACAUGCUAGUGAGAGAAGGGGUUGUUACACUCACUCGAAGUUCUUUCCAAAAUAUCGCAUGGUAUUUUAUUUUAUGUGUCAGCGCAGUUGUGAAUGGAACGUGCAAAAGUCCAAAUUGGCGUUUUUCCUUUUCCCGUGUAGGAUGGCGACCUUUAAUAAAUAUUUAAAACAAAAAACGAAAAAAAGGAGGGAAAAGGGAUCAGAAAAGAUAAAACAAUGUGUACAAGAGCUCAAUUAGUUUGCAAAUUACUGUUUGGAUUUUGAUAGUAUUUUAUUUGUCCAUCUAUAUUUGAUGGAAAAGAGAAUUUAAGAUAUUUCUGAAACAAAAGCAUUAGUGUAAAACUAAAUUAAGGUAUAAUUAAGUUAGUUCAAUGCAUUAAUUUAAGAAACUUGAUCUAUCCAAAGUACAAAAUUAGAUGAAAUCCAUUUCAAUGGUUAAAAUGAUCAAAAUCAAACUUUUUCUAAGUAUUUUUUAAAAGCAUCAAUAUUAAAAGACAAUUUUAUAUUUAGUCGGAGUUUGGACAAAACCAAAAAGCACACAAAAUCCAAGCGACCAUCUCUAGCUUGGAUAGUCACUUGAUCCCACCUAGAGAUGUGCAUGAGUAAAAGGAUUUGAAAAUGGAAAUUGACUAAAUAUUUAGUUGAUCAAUUAAAUUUGCAAUGUCAUAUGCAAUCCUAAUAGCUAGUCAUCUAAUCAAUUAGGUAGUCAAUCAAGUGUUUGUAAUGACUAUUUUGUACAAAAAACCACAUGUAUAGUUAAAUAUAAUGCAUUUCAUUUAUAAAUCUUCUAAUUCUUGAAUAACGAUCCUAUCAUCCUUUGAAAAUUUUUAUUACACCUUUUUUACUUUUGUUCUAAAACUUACAUAUCACCCUUAAUUGUACCAUGAGAACCUAGCUAUUUUUUUUUUUUUUGUAAUUCAUCAAAGUUAGCUUUUGUAUUCAUUGUUGUAUUAUUUUUAGUAUAACUUAGAAAGCUAGUGUUUUCAAGUGAGUAAAAUUAACUUGUAAAUAUUGUAAAGAUUCAUUGAUAUGUAUCUUAAACUAAGUGUACAAAUUAAAACAUUUGCUAGUAGAUUUUCUCAAAAUUUAGAAUAGAGCUUGAGGCUAUUGAAAUAGGUGGGGUUACACCAAACCACAUCACAUCGUUGUUUGCACCUUUUUUCACUCUCUUUUACUUAGUUUCUCUAUAUUUGUUGUCUAGUAAUAUCCUAUAGGCUUGAUGGGUUAGGGAGCAUCCCUUUGUGAAAAAAUUUCAUUCAAUUCUUAGUUGUAUUACGCAUAUAUAAAAUGCCUCAUUGUUUUAAUGGUAUUCAGUCGUGGCAUCACAGAUAUGGGCAUCUAAAUUUUAAAAGUUUGAAACUUUUGUAAAGCAUGUUGAUAAAAUCCAUGAGAGUUGUGUACUUGGGAAGCAACAUCGAGGUGACUUUAUUUUUUUUUCCUUUUAUAAUGCCACACCUAAGUCCGGUUUCUAAAUGCUAAAGUGAAAGGGUAGGUAUGGACCAUUGAAAUGUGAUCACAACUUUUGGCCUUUUCCUUUCUCUGCAGCCAUGUUGUCUCUUUUUUCUUUUGCAUGAUUUUCUUACCAAAACAGAAUCAUAGACUUGUUUAGUCUCUAAGCUACUAUAUUAUAUCUCGGUGGACUUUUAAGAGUGCAACCGACAUAGAGCACAUGCAAGUGGGCAUAUGGGACAUGAAAUUUCUUCUUACAAAGAUUGCAUGAUUUUUAUAUUAGAGUUGUUCACGUGCAAUGUAUUUAGCUUGUUUUGCAGUUAAAUUAAUUGGAUAAGUAAACAUUGGCAUUUCUAAAUCGACUGUGAAGUGCUUCAUGUACGUGUAAAGUAUUAGAAAUUUCUUUCUUGGCAACUUGUUUUUUCCUUGCCAUCUACUGGUAGGUUUGACUAAAAUUAUAUUCCCUGUCAUGCUAAUUAAUUUUCAUGUGCAUGCUCAAAAGAAGAGUAUGACCUUAGUGCACCAAAAUCACUUUGAUUAAUUUGUGAUAGGUUUUUUUGCAUCAUUUAGAUAAUGUUUAGUUCUAAGAAAAAUUUAUAUAAAAAUGGUUUAUUUAUCUUACAUAUAUAUAUAUAUAUAUAUAUUUUUUUUUUUUUCAUUUUUUUUUCUUCUAUUUUAUUUAUUUAUUUUAUUUUCCUUAUGUUUUCCUCACAUUUUCCGGAACUAAACAUAGUCUUACGAAAUCAACAAUUGCCUUCAACUGAGUAGAUUCUGUUGUUUUAGCAAUGUUAGGCUGCUAACUUGUGGUGGUACGAACCAAAUGACCCAUGUUAAUCUUGGCUUGGUUUGAUUUGGCUCUAUCUCAGAGAGCUAAAGGAUCACGUCAACUCUGGUUUCUACUAUUCAGGUCCAUUCCCAGAUGAACUGGUUCAAAUUUGAGAAAAUGGUAACAGACCUUUAGUGAUGUUGGUUUGGAGCCAGUUGCCAAACCCGCCCUGAGCUUUACCACUAAUGUCAAGGGAGAAAGCCAUUUGAACAAAAACAAUAGCUUCAAGAGACUGAAUCGUGGAUGAAAUCUGAUCCACAUUUCUUCUCAUUUUGGGAAAAAAUGAGAACUUAACUACAAAGAUUCUACUGCCUCAUUCAUAGUGCUUUUCCUGAUCCAAGGUUGGUUCGUUUCCCAAAUUGUGAGGUGCACGUGCCACUCUCACGCUCAGGAGUGUAUCCACGUGGUGGACAUCAGAUGGUGGCUUAAUAUCUGGUGUCGGUGGCUUUACUUUACUAGGAGAGUAGUGUGUCUUCAUCUCAUUCACUGCCGGAGGGUGGCGUAAGCAGUGACGCUAAGGUGGGGCACAGUCAAUAUCAUUUGCAUUUGACCAUUAUAGUUUUCUCCCGGCUUGAAAGUAACCUUAUCGUGAUAAAGGAUUACUAGCACUAGUUCAGAUGACCGUCAUGUUAAUUCGGACCAUGUUUGUGUCACAUUAUCAGCAACCAUGUGUUUAUGGUUCAUGCUAUCUGCAACUAAACUUGAUAUAUAACCAGGUGAACUUCAAUCAAAAUUCUGGAAGUACUCUUGUGAUAGAUGGUGCCUGUCUGCAGAGUCCAUCAAUUGAAAAAUGGAGUGAGUGUAUCUAUAAGAGGGAAGGCUUGGCAAAUGUUCAGUUUUCUGGGAAUUCAACAAGGAUCUAAAAUAGAUUGUUUUCUUUGCCGACUUCAAUGGUUGAAAUUUGAGAAGAUUGUGUCCACAUAUCACAACUAUUACUGGUCCUUCUGUUGCAAUUUAUCCUGUAAGGCUCUAACAUGUCUUCCAAUUCCCACUUCCCUGUUACUCCAGGAAAGCUAUUUCUGUCAUUGUGAAGAAGAAAAGAGAAUGUACAUAUCGAUGCUUUUAAGUGACUGGAGCAUUCAUAUCAGGUGGUCUGCAGCCAUAUAUGCCACUUUGUGAAGGUUGGAACAGUCAAUCACUAGGCUAUAUAUUGGUGUGGCCCAGCCACUUCAAUCAAGGACAAGUCUUCAUACUUAAAGUCAAAUUCUGCCUUUAGUCUCAUUAUAAAUUGCUGUUUAAAUAUUAAGCAAACUUUUGUUUAAUGCGAUUAAGACAGUACUAACUCAAUACUUGUUCUAUUUUUGGAUGCAAAUGCUUGAUGGUUUCAUCAUUGGAUGGGAUAAAGGUGCAUUCAUGAUUAUGAAUACUUGUAGUUAUAUUUUCAUUCUCUUUUUUCUCAAUGAGACUUGUUGGCACAAUGUUGCUGUUCAGAAACCUACCUCUCCAUGGAAAAUAAGUUGCGAUUGAUAGUACUGGAUAUGUUCAAGAAAGCUAAAUAUAGAUAGCACAAAAUAUUAUCGAUAUAAAUAGCAUUAACAGCGUACGUAUGUCUCAAUGCUCAUCAGCUAUAAGCAUGGGACAAACACUUACUAUGAGCAACUUACGUCAAAAUUCCAGAAUAGGACAUAGAAGUGACAGAUCUAUAUAUAUAGAACACUGCAUAUGAGUCACAAGAAAGGAAAUUACGGGUGCAUAGCAGCUCUUAUUUUACAUACUACUACUCAUACUGAUCAAAGUCACUCAGUUGGGAUGGGUGGGAGUAGGAGGUUUGUGGGGUGGCUUGUGCGGAGGAGUUGGCAGCUUCUUUCCAGGACCUGGUUGCUUCUCUGCUGGAGUUGAAGGAGGCUUAAUCUUCCGAGGUGGCUUGUAUGAGUCUUCAGCAUUCUCAGCUGGAGGGUGACCAGGGUUGUGACCAUAAUGUGGUGGCUUCUCUCCCUUAGGUGGUUUGCCAACUGGGGUUGGUGGCUUGUAUGAGUCUUCAGCAUUCUCAGCAGGAGGGUGACCAGGGUUGUGACCAUAAUGUGGUGGCUUCUCUCCCUUAGGUGGUUUGCCAACUGGGGUUGGUGGCUUGUGUUCUGGGAGUGGCUUCUCCCCCUUGGGAGGUUUUUCCAAUGGGGUUGGUUUGUGUUCAGGAGGUGGCUUCUCCACUGGAGGCUUGUGUUCAGGAGGUGGCUUCUCCACCGGUGGCUUGUGUUCAGGAGGUGGCUUCUCCACCGGAGGCUUAUGCUCUGGUGGUGGCUUCUCCACCGGAGGCUUAUGCUCUGGUGGUGGCUUCUUGAAUGGGGGAUGCUGAGGGUAAUCAGCAAGUGAGGGGGCGGUGAGAACCACCAGGCCAAGCAACACCACUAGCAAAUAUGUAGGAGACAUCUUUGGGUUUGGGCUCAGAUGGUGCAAAACUAGGAGAAUUGGCUAGCCUUUUAUAGCGGAUCGUACUCAAUAAUGAAAUGACACGUGUCAUUAUGACCCAUGUGUAAUGGGGUCGAUUUGGGUCCUACAGUGUUGAAAACUUCGACAUCCAGUUUUGGCCUUUUGCUUUCUCUACAGCCGCCUUGCUUUUUCCCUCUUUCCUUUUGUUUUCCUCCUGCCCCAUUCUAUCAACUAAACACAAUUAUGUAGUUGUUUAAUUCUUAAAUGAGAUAUUAUCGGUCAAUCGUAUUAUAUUUUAUCAAGAGAGAACGGAGUGCAAUGCAGCUGUAAUUUUAUCGUUUACUUUUAUCUCUUGGACCACUGCAUUUUUGUUAAGAGGUGCAAUAAUACACGUCUUUAUCUGCCAUUCAAUGUUUACAGUAAAGAGAGGGCACAAAACUCUUCACUGCUCUGCAUGUGUCCCAAAAAUGCGAUUGGACAAAUUAUGAUUUGCAUGCUAAAAAGAGGCAAAUGAGGUUAAUUCGCACCAUAAUUAUUUGGUUUUCUGGACACCAUAAAAAGAUGUUAUACAGGCAGGGAAAAACCUUCAGAGUUAGCUACCAAAGAUAAUUAUCAAGCAGAUAUCACCAAGAGAAUUCCAUAGAGUCUGAAUCAAAGACAGAUUGCUCGCUCGUGGGGGUUCUUACUUUCUUUUGGGUAUAACUCACUGAGGUCACUGUCUUUUUUAUUUGCAUUUCACAGUUAGAGUUCUGCUCUGGAAGGUUUGUUCUGGAAACAUAUAAAAGGAGCAUCAUUUUGUUCUUGGGUAACCCAUAGUCGUGAGUGGGUCCAUUUGCAUGCUACUUAGUUGAAAAGUUGGACAAUUUGCUCCGACGCCUACCUCCUGGAUUCCAUGCUCGGUAAAACAAGAAUAAAAAAAAAUAUAUAAUUUACAAAUGGGGGAAAGAAAAAAUGUCGGAAAAAAUAGUAAAAUUCAUGUCACAUGCUAGUGAGAGAAGGGGUUGUUACACUCACUCGAAGUUCUUUUCAAAAUAUCGAAUGGUAUUUUACUUUAUGUGUCAGCGCAGUUGUGAAUGGAACGUGCAAAAGUCCAAAUUGGCGUUUUUAUUUUUCCCAUGUAGGAUGGUGACCUUUAAUAAAUAUUUAAAACAAAAGACGAAAAAAAAAAGGAGGGAAAAGGGAUCACAAAAGAUAAAAUAAUGUUUACAAAAGCUCAAUUAGUUUGCAAAUUACUGUUUGGAUUUUGAUAGUAUUUUAUUUGUCGUUCUAUAUUUGAUGUAAAAGAGAAUUUAAGAUAUUUCCGAAGCAAAAGCAUUAGUUUGCUCUGUGAUGUCCCACAUCGAAUAGGGGAGAAAGUUUCUGGCGCUAUAUAUGUAGAGGCUCCUCUUAACCAAGUAGAUGCGUUUUAAAACCAUGAGGGCCCCCUUAGGUCCAAAGCGGACAAUAUCUACAUGAUUGGGUGUAAGUCAUUACAAAUGGUAUCAGAGCCGAUCCCCGACCCCGGUGUGGGGGUUUGUUUGGCCCUGUAAGGGGUGUUUGUCUGUUUGACCCCACAAUCCCAUGGGACACAACGAGGACGUUGUGUCUGCAUGGGGGGGCGUUUGUGAUGUCCCACAUCGGAUAGGGGAGAAAGUUCCUAGUGCUAUAUAUGUAGAUGUUUCUCUUAACCAAGUAGAUGCAUUUUAAAAUUGUGAGGGCCUCUUUGGGCCCAAAGCGGACAAUAUCUACAUGGUUGAGUGUAAGUCAUUACAUGCUCCAUGUCAAUUUCAGCAUUUCUCAUAUGUUUCACACAUACACAGAAGAGCAUCGUUUUUUAAAGCAUGCAUUUAUGUUGGAUUAAUUUGGAUUUUGUGGGAACUGGGGCAAGGAUCACAUGGAAGAGAGGUUGACUUUUUUCAGUACUUCAAUGGUUGAAAUAUGUGAAGGCUUGAUUGAUACUAAAGCUUGAAAUUGCGACUCUGUCAUUUGUAAAAAAAUAUGACAGCUUCCAUGCUCUCGUUUGGUUGCAUUGUCCGGUCGAGAGGUGCAAAAAGCAUUCUCUCUCUUCUAAUAGUCUUUUCGUUUAAAUCAAGGGAUUUGCCUUCCCGGUCGAGGUCCAAUAGAGGGUAACGGUCACCUACUAAACAUUAAAUGCUCCAACAACUAGUGAACUGAUCGACCCCAGCUCGACUAGUUGAGGUUACUUUUUGGUUUUCUUGUCUCCCGAGGUUAGAAACCUAUAAAUAGAGAGCUUCACUUCAUUUAUGAGUAAGAGAACACCUAAAUUUAUUUGUUUACCUACUUGUUUUUGCCAUAAAAGCUCUCAUUUCUUUUCUUGGUGUAUUAAAUCUCCAUUUGCAUAUCCUUUAGUGCACCUUUGUGAUUCAUUCUAGCCUUGAGUUGUAUUUAAGCCUUUGUUGAGCUAGGUUGAGAGUUUCAUACUUGUUUAUUGAGUGUUAAAGCCUUCAAGUGAGUUAAAACUUGAAGAGAUUGUGUAAGAGCCCAUUGGAGUCGGAAUCCAAGUGUAAAGGUGAUUAAAAGCUUGGUUGAAGCUUCAAGUUAGUGGAACUCUCACUCGGUUAUGAGCUUGAGAAGAGUGGACAUAGACAAGGCAGUGUCGAACCACUAUAAAAUCUGAGUUUGAUUUCUCUAACCUUAUCUCUUUAUAUUUGCUUCUCUUGUGCUUAAAUUUUUUGUGUUUAAAAAGAAUUUUUAAAAACUCAAUUCACCCCCUUCUUGGGAGUUUUUCUCUUUUAAGAUCAGCUUUUAUUUUCUCAAUUGGUAUCAGAACUAUGCCUCUUGUUUAAGACUUAAUCGUCUAAGAGGAAAUGGCUAAUCCAUCAAGUUCAUCUCACAUUGAAAGUUUUGCAACCAAUAGACUUCUUUUUUUUUUUUUGCGGGAACUGAUUAUCCCUAUUGGAAAACUAAAAUGACUUGGUUUUUACAAUCAAUUGAUUUAGAUGUAUGAGAUGCCAUUGAAGAUGACCUAACUUUUCCUUCAAAACUAGUUGAUGGAGUCAUGGUUCCAAAACCUAAGCAAGAAUGGGAUGAGCGUGAUUGAAGAAAUUUUCAAUUAAAUGCUAAAGUCGUUUAUACUUUGCAAUGCUCUAUGGACAGAAAUGAAUAUAAUAGAAUAUGUCAAUGCAAAUCGGUUAAAGAAAUUUGGAGAUUGCUUGAAAUAACUCAUAAAGGAACAAAUCAAGUUAAAGAGUCAAAAAUCAAUUUACUUGUUCAUAGAUAUGAAUUGUUUUUUAUGAAAGAUAAUGAAACUAUUGUUAAGAUGAUCACUAGGUUCACCAACAUUGUUAAUGGUCUUAAAGCCUUGGGAAAGACCUACAAGGAAUCCGAAAACGUGAUGAAGAUCUUGAGGUCACUUCCAUCAAAGUGGCAUACCAAGGUCACCGCAAUUUAAGAAGCAAAAGACUUGAUCAAGCUACCUUUGGAGGAGUUCAUAGGGUCAUUGAUGACAUAUGAAAUCAAUUUGGCAAAGAAGUAACAAAAAGGUGAAGACAAAAAGAAGAAGAACAUAACUCUCAAAGCUACAACUAAGGAAGAAGAAGUUGAAGAAGAAAAACAAAUUGAAGAAGAUGAAGAUUUAGCCCUCAUCACAAGAAAGUUCAACAAAUUCAUGAGGGGUGAAAGGUUUAGAAGAAGAAGGUUCACUUCUAGAAGAGACUUUUCUAAAAAGGAAUCUUCAUCUAAUGGUGACAAAAAGAGAUGGGAAGAGAAAAGAGACUUGGUGUGUUUCAAGUGCAAGAAACCGGGACACAUUAAAUAUGAUUGUCCUCUCUACAAAAGUGAAGUCAAGAGGAAAAAGAAUAAGGCAAUGAUGGCCACUUAGAGUGAAAGUGAAGAUGAAUCAUCCGAAGAAGAAAAUGAGAAAGAAGUGGCAAACAUGUGUUUCAUGGCAAUAGAUGAACUUGAUGAGGUAAAAUCUAACCUUAGUGAUUAAGAUAUACAUGAUGCAUUUGAAGAAUUGUAUGAGGAUUUUUAAAAACUUAGUUUGAAAAAUAUUUCUCUUAAAAAGAAAGUUCAACAACUUGACAAAGAACUUAGAGAAGUAAAAGAAAAAUUUUCAAAUGUUAAAGUUUCUAAAACUCAUCUUGAAAAAGAAAAUGAGAUUCUAAGAAAGAAAAAUGAAUAGUUGAACUCCUCUCUUUCAAUCUUUUCUUCUAGACAAAAAUCUUUUGAAAUGAUUCUAACUAGCUAAAAAUGUGUUUUUGACAAACAAGGGUUAAGAUUUAAAUCUUCAAAAAAUCAAAAGUAUUUUAAAAACUAUUUUGUAAAGGAAUCCACAAGUGCAAGUCCUUCCACUACUUGCAACUUUUGUGGAAGAGAAUGGCACAUUAGUAGUACGCCCUUUAAGAAAUGGUUCUCAAAAGAAUUUAAAUGCAAAAACUAAAAAAGAUUUGGAUUGAGAAAUCCAAGGUCACUAACCCUCAAGGACCCAAAAAGAUAUAGGUACCUAAAUCAACUUGAGUUUUAUGUUGUAAGGUUCAAAGAAUGAUAAGUGGUUCUUAGAUAAUGGUUGCUCAAGACACAUGACCGGAGAUGAAUCCAAGUUUGCUUUUCUUAAAAAGAAAAAUGGAGGAUAUGUUACCUUUGGAGACAAUGCAAAAGAAAGGAUGAUUGGUCAAGGCAACAUUGGUAAUGGCACAUCCUCUCUCAUUGAAAGUGUUUUAUUAGUAGAUGGUUUCAAACAUAACCUUUUAAGCAUUAGUCAAUUUUGCGACAAAGGUUUUUAAGUGAUUUUUUAAGCAUCUCAUUGCAUCAUCAAGGAUAUUCAAAAUGAUAAAACCAUUUUCAUGGGCCAUAGAUGUGAUAAUGUUUAUGCUAUAAAUAUUUCAAAAUAUGAUGGCCAUGAUAGAUGUUUUUCAAGCAUGCAUGAUCAAAGUUGGUUGUGCCAUAGGAGAUUGAGACAUGCUAACAUAGACCUCAUUUCCCAACUCAACAAAGAUGAACUUGUUAGAGGCCUUCCCAAAAUAAUUUUUUAAAAAGAUAAAGUUUGUGAAGCUUGUCAAGUGGGAAAGUAAAUCAAAAACUCUUUUAAAAACAAAAACUUCAUUUCCACAUCUAGGCCACUUGAGUUGUUGCAUAUGGAUUUAUUUGGUCCCUCUAGGACACCAAGUCUUAGAGGAAAUUCUUAUGCAUAUGCUAUUGUGGACGACUUCUCUAGAUACACAUGAGUCUUGUUUUUUAGUCAAAAGAAUAAAGUUUUUUAUGAGUUUUCAAAGUUUUGCAAUAAGAUUCAAAAUGAAAAAGGUUUUUCAAUUACUUAUAUAAGAAGUGAUCAUGGGAGAGAAUUCGAAAAUAUUGAUUUUGAAGAGUAUUGCAAUGAGCAUGGAAUUGACCACAAUUUUUUGGCUCUUAGAACUCCUCAACAAAAUGGGGUAGUUGAAAGGAAAAAUAGAACUCUUCAAAAAAUGACAAGAACCAUACUAAAUGAAAACAACUUACCAAAAUAUUUUUAGGCCAAAACGGUUAACACUUCUUGUUAUGUUUUAAAUAGAGUAUUAUUGAGGCUCAUACUUAAGAAAACUCCCUAUGAGCUUUGGAAAAACAAAAAACCCAACAUUAGUUAUUCCAAAGUCUUUGGAUGCAAUAUUUUAUAAUAAACACCAAAGACAAUCUUGGAAAAUUUGAUGCAAAAUUGGAUGUUGGAAUUUUCCUUGGUUACUCAACUUCAAGUAAAGCUUUUCGAGUUUUAACAAAAGAACCAUGGUUGUAGAGGAGUCCAUCCAUGUUAUUUUUUAUGAAUCUCCAAGAAAGAGAGAGGAUUGAUGAUGAUUUAGGUUUGAAGACCUCUAUAGGAAGAUUGCAAAUCGAAGAUAGAAGACAACAAGAAGAAAAUGGAGAGAAUCCAAAGAAAGAAGGAUCACCAUUGGCACUACCCCCUCAUCAACAAGCGCAAGGUGAAUCAAGUCAAGAGCUUCCUAAAGAAUGGAAGUUUGUCAUCAAUCACCCACAAGAUCAAAUUAUAGGCAAUCCAUCUAGUGGGGUAAGAACUAGAUCCUCUCUUAGAAAUAUUUGCAAUAAUCUAGCUUUUAUCUCUCAAAUUGAGCCUAAAAAUAUAAAUGAUGUUUUAGAUGAUGAAAAUUGGAUAAUUGCAAUGCAAGAAGAGUUAAAUCCAUUUGAAAGAAGUGGAGUAUGGGAAUUAGUACCAAGACCUUCAAAUCAAAGUGUUAUUGGAACUAGAUGGAUCUUUAGAAAUAAAAUGGAUGAAAAUAGCAUAAUUGUUAGAAAUAAAGCAAGAUUGGUAGCCCAAGGUUUUAAUCAAGAAGAAAUGAUAGAUUAUGAAGAAACCUUUGCCCCCGUAGCUAGGUUGGAAGCCAUUAGGAUGCUACUUGCCUUUGCAUGUUUUAAAGACUUUGUUUUAUAUCAAAUGGAUGUGAAAAGUGCUUUUUUAAAUGGUUUUAUAAAUGAAGAAGUAUAUGUUGAACAACCACCCGGUUUUCAAAGUUUCAACUUUCCUAACCAUGUUUUUAAACUUAAAAAGACACUUUAUGGUUUGAAACAAGCACCUAGAUCAUGGUAUGAAAAAUUGAGUAAAUUUCUUUUGAAAAAAAUGUUUUAAAAUGGGAAAAAUUGACACAACUCUUUUUAUAAAAACCAAAGAAAAUGAUAUGCUCUUAGUUCAAAUAUAUAUUGAUGAUAUCAUUUUUGGUGCUACUAAUGUCUCUCUUUAUGAAGAAUUUUCUAAGUGCAUGCAUAGUGAGUUUGAAAUGAGCAUGAUAGGAGAACUCAACUUCUUCCUUGGACUUCAAAUCAAGCAACUAAAGGAAUGAACCUUCAUCAAUCAAGCAAAGUAUAUAAGAGAUCUUCUCAAAAGGUUCAACAUGGAAGAAGCCAAAACAAUGAAGACUCUAAUGAGCUCAUCCAUUAAGCUUGAUAAGGAUGAGAAAGGUAAAUCCAUUGACUCUAUUAUGUAUAGAGGCAUGAUAGGUUCUUUGCUCUAUUUGACCACUAGUAGACCUUACAUUAUGUAUAGUGUGUGUUUGUGUACUAGAUUUCAAUCUUGUCUUAAAAAAUCUCACUUAAGUGUCGUGAAAAGAAUCCUCAAAUAUUUGAAAGGGACAAUGGACAUAGGCUUAUGGUAUCCUAAGAGUGAUAACUUUGAAUUAAUUGGUUUUUUGGAUGCUGAUUUUGUCAGUUGUAGGGUUGAAAAAUAAAACACUAGUGGCACUUUUCAUUUCUUAAGACACUUACUUGUCUCAUGGCAUAAUAAGAAGCAAAAUUUGGUAGCUUUGUCAACAGCAGAAGCUAAAUACAUAGCAACUGGUUUAUGUUGUGCACAAAUCCUUUGGAUGAAAUAAACACUUAGUGAUUUUGAUUUAUCUUUUGAGCAUAUUCCUAUUAAAUGUGAUAAUAGUAGUGCCAUAAGUAUAUCAAAAAAUCUCGUGCAACACUCUAGGACUAAGCAUAUAGAGAUUAGACAUAAUUUUCUUAGAUAUCAUACACAAAAGGAUGAUAUAACACUUGAAUUUGUAAGCAUAAAAGACCAACUUGCCGAUAUCUUUACAAAACCUCUAAGAACAUUUUGUUGAUAUUAGAGGACAAUUAGGAGUGAUUUCUUUAUGAUCUAAUGUGAUGAAUUCUUGAUGAAUAUACUUUUUGAUUGCAUGAAUUUCAUGUCAUAUAUGCAUCAUAUAGAAAUAUACUUAGAUAAUGGUCAAAUUUCGACCAAAAAUCAAAAUUCCCAUGGCAUUAGGCAUAAAAAUUUUGGAAUUUCAACUGAAAAUGGUAGGAGGAGGAUCACAAAAUGAGAAAGUAUGCAAAAAUUGAAAAAUCAAAACGUUGACCAAGCGGUCAAUCGGACUAGACCGAUCGACUAGUUUGUCGAGAUUUAGGAUUUUUAAGAGACUCCAACGCUUCAAUUUUUGCACCGUUCUCCUCUAUUUCUUCACGGUUUCUCUGAUUUUGUCUUUUAGAGACUAAUUUGAGUGCGUUUUGGAUCAAUUGAAGCAUUUUGGAUUGGAUUUUAGGAAGAUUGAAAGUUAAGGUUUCGGAUUUGGGUCGCCUUCUCUUCCUCUCGCGUGUCACAAUCAGCUUUAGCAUUGUUCUCUUUCCAUUUUCACACACCUAGGGUUUCAGUUGUGAGCAUCUCUCUCUCUUUACCAACCACUACUCCCUUGCUUCUUCCAUAUGGCUCCUAGGCGAGAGUCCGCUACUUCUAGGGCACAAGGCAAGCACCCAACUGAGUCGUCUCAGUCAAAGGCACGUCGAAAAGUGAGAUUUGACAUUGCCUUGUUCAGUUCCAUGGAGGACUACCAACUAUACAAGCAACACUUUGCUUAGAGACGAGUAGUUCCCAAGAGAAAUAUUAAUUUUCCUCAACUUCAGCAUUUCGAAUUUAAGGGUCUAUUUACUAGGAUGGUUGGUUGUCUAUUGUCACAAUUUCGGAGCCGGUUUUCCUGACCUUAGUGCGAGUUUUUUACUCGAGGGCGACUUAUGGCAUGGGUGGCAUGAUCAUUUCUACUGUUGGAGGAGUUGAGAUCUGUCUGGACCCAGAGAGCAUCUGCCAUAUUUUCGAUAUUGCUCUGGUUGGACUCAAAGUAUACAAGUCCAAAAUGUGGCCCAUUGUGCCAGGAUUUGAGCUUAGAGAGGUCAUUCAGAGGAUUUGUGAACUUCCAGACGCCCAGGAGAUGGGCAAACCAUUGCCACACAGUUUGACGGUCAUCAACAGGGUGCUACACCAUAUAUUGUGCUCUAUCUUUCUACCACGAAGUGGACAUUGAGAUGAGGUCUCUUAUUAUGAGGCAUUCCUUAUUGACUCCAUUCUAACGGAGAGACGAAUUCAUCUACUAUGUCAUCAUUCACUAAGCCUCCUCACAGUGACAUACCACCUCAUCAGGCACCUCUUGCUCCUGACCAUGCUCCAUUGAUGGAUUUAUUUACUCAUAUUAGCUCUCUAGGCACUCGCAUGAAGGAGUUUGUUGUAGUUAGUGAUACAUGGUUCUACUCCAUAGAGGAUCGCAUGGAUCAGUAUCAGACUGGCUUCACGUCACAGUUUGAGUAUCUCCAAUAGAGGAUUGAGCAUAUUGAGGAUCACUUGAGCAUGAGAAGAUGAUGGCUUUUCUAUGCUCUGUGUUUCCACCUCCACCUCGUCAACCUUGAUUUCUUAGAGACCCAUUGUUUUCAUUUUGUAAUGUUGCCAAAAGGGGGAGAUAUUUAGGAUCUAGGACUCUAUAGGAGACUUACAUGCAUAUCAUUUUCAUAUCAUUGUUUGGAUCGUACAUAUUGGAUAGUGAUACUUUUUACUUAUAUAUGAUAUGCCUAUAUGUUUCAUGUCUUACAUUGUUUCUUAUUGCAAAUUAUCUCUAACAUGUCUUGAUUAUCUUUUUUUUAACUUCAUAAAUUUUGAUUGUUAACCCAUGAUUGGUUUGAGGGGAAGAUUCUUCUUCUCCUAGAUAACCAAGGUUUGUCAUCAUAAAAAAAUUGGAGAUUGUUAGCCCAAGGGUUCUCCUAAUCAUGUUUUGAUGAUAACAAACCAUGCUUAAGUUACUAAUUGGUUUGAAUUAUAAAGAAUUUCAAGUGUUAAUUUGAAAAUUCAUCAAAGAACCUAAUGGAUGCAAGAUCAAGAUUUUUGGAAGACCUUUAAUCAUAAGAAACAUAUGUAAGAUGAAUGCAUGGGUGCACUUAAGAUUUGCAUAUCAUUUCAUGCAUAUUUGGAAAACACGGUUUAUGCUUUAAAGUUACAUUUCCAUCAAAAUUUGAGAUCCAUCAAAUGAACCUUAGGAAAAAUGUUUUAAAAUUGGCAUAUAAUUUUACCUAAAGACCUUGCCUAAGUGUUAGAAGCAAAAGGACAAAAAAAAUAUAGGUUUUCUGGUCAAAAAUGGUGAACCAGUCAAGGCAUUGUCUAAAUCAGCUCAAUCGGCCAAGGUACCGGUCGAUCGGUUUCCCUUUCCCUGUCGAGAUCUAGUCAAGAGGUACAAAAAUCACAAUCUCUGUCUCUUUCUCUCUUUGUCUAUCUUCCAGUAGUCUUUCCUUCCCGGUCGAGGGAUUUGCCUUCCCGAUUGAGGUCCGAUUGAGAGUAAUAGUCACUUGCCAAAUAUUAAAUGCUCCAACAGUUAGUGAACUGGUCGACCCCCACCUUGCCCAGUUGAGGUUACUUUUUGGUUUUCUUGGCUCCCGAUGUUAGAAACCUAUAAAUAGAGAGUUCCACUUCAUUUAUGAGCAAGAGAACACUUGCAUUUAUUUGUUUACCUACUUGUUCUUGCCUUAAAAGCUCUCAUUUCUUUUCUUGGUGCAUUAAAUCUCCAUUUUGAUAUCCUUUAGUGCACCUUUGUGAUUCAUCUUAGCCUUGAGUUGUAUUUGAGCCCUUUUUUUAGCUAGGUUGAGAGUUUCAUACUUGUUAAUUGAGUGUUAAAGCCUUCAAGUGAGUUGAAACUUGUAGAGAUUAUGUGAGAGUCGAUUGGAGCCGAAAUCCAAGUGUAAAGGUGAUUAGAAGCUUGGUUGAAGCUUCAAGUUAGUGGAAUCCUCACUCAAUUAGGAGCUUGAGGAGAGUGGACGUAGCCAAGGAAGUGUCGAACCACUAUAAAAUUUGAGUUUGAUUUCUCUAACAUUGUCUCUUUAUAUUUGUUUAUCUUGUGCUUAAAUUUAUUGUGUUUAAAAAGAAUUUUUAAAUACCCAAUUCACCCCCCUCUUGGGUGUUUUUCUCUUUUAAAAUUAGCCUUUAUUUUCUCACAAACUAUUGUAGUAUAGUGGUUUUUAGGUGUCAUCCAUUAGGAUGAAUUGUUCUCGGUAAUUAAGGCGUGAAUGAGAGGAGAAUUAAUGAUUGUGAUUAAGUAAAAUUGAUUUGAAAAUUCAUGGUGAAAAAUCAAUUUAACAAUGGUUUCUAAUUGAGAAAAACAAUGAAAUGUGAAAUAAAAUAAAAUUAAUAGGAAAUGAAAUUCUCGAAGUUAGAAUUUUCUAAAAAACAAAUUCCAUGGUGAAUGGAUGUUGAGAUCUAAUUUUCAUCAAGUUAGAUUGAAAACCGAAAUUUUCAUAUAAACUGAUUUUUUAUUUAGUUUUAGGUCUAGAUUUAAUUUCCCUUAAAAUUAGGUUAUUUAAUCCAAGAAAUCAAUUCAAAUCAUAUAUUCAAUUCAUCUUAAAUUAUCUUCCAAUUAUUCACACAAUGCAACUAUUCAAUCUCAUCAAAUCUAGCUUUUAAGAAUUUAAUGAAUCUACCUAGUUUGCAUUGUAAUAGUCAUCCAUGACAAUUUGAAGAGAAAAAUAAUUCAAUUAAUCAAUCACUUGGAUCAAAUUACCUUUGCAAUUAAAGUUCAUUUCUCUAAUUCACCACAGAUUUUGUCUCUAGAUCCUCCUUUCUCAAAGAAAAAUGAGAUUUAGCCACACAUGAUUGGAGAUUUGGUCUCAUAAGGCAUGUUUAGCUAGUGAUAAAAUGAGAGAAAAUAAAGAAAAAUAGAGAAUUCGAUUAAGAAAGAAAAUCUAAAAAAUUCUACAAUUAGAAAUGUCCAAAAAGCUUUUUCAUGAGAAAAUCAAGUUUCUAUUUAUAGGCCAAGGUCAAGUGGACACUUGACAUCAUCUAAGAGGUCUUCCGGAAGCUUCUUCAUCAAGAAAUCUGGAGUUUAAUAAUAAAAUGGUCAUUUCACAAGAGCUCAAACAAUUUCGCAUGAUUAUGUGAAAUAAAAAAUGCAACAACAGCAAUUUACAUCUUCUUGGAGCAUUUCGCAUGACUGUGUGAAAUUUUCACAUGAUCAUGUGGAAUCGACUUGACAACUCUCAUUUAGCCUACAACAUAAUUCCACCUUUUGGUCCAUUUUUCAUAGUCAUGCGAAAUGGAAAUAUUUGAUUUUUAAGUUUUCUUUUGUCAUUUCUUUCAUUUCCUUCUCUUGAUUCCACUUCAACUACCUCCGAAUCCUGGUCCAAACCAAUUGCAUUACUUCUUUCAUUAUGCAUUUGGAUCAUCAUCAACAUUAUUUGUUCUCUUCAAUUUGAUUCAUCUCUUUUGUCACCAAUUUAUCAAAAUCAUACCUUGAAAUGACUCCAAAACUUCAUAAAACUUGUUAGUAACUCUUGCAAGGGCAACAACAUAUUAAUUAAGUGUUUUAGGCAUAGUUACUACUCAAAAGAUGCGAAACUCAUGAUAAUUAUUAUAUAAAAUAUGCUCUUUUUGAGUAGUAAUCAACUUUCUUGCAUAAGCAGACCUUUUAGGGUGGAGUACUAAAGACCAAUAUGCUUGUCCUUGUUGUAAUAAAGAAACUUGCUCUUAUUGAUUGCACCAUGGGAGAAAAUUUUGCUACAUGAGUUAUCAUCAAUUUCUUCCCACCAAUCAUAGAUUUAGACGUGACAAGAGGCCUCUUAAUGGCAAGGAGGAACUGACACUCACACUUAUACAAUUAUCGGGCAUUGAUGUGUUGCAACAAUUAGAAUAACUUACACCAAUUAUGUUGGGGAAGUCACAAAAGGCAAACAUGAAAACUAAAAGGAAAAAAGAAAAAUGUUACAUAUCACCACAACUGGAAAGAAAAAAGUAUUUACUUUCAUUUGCCAUAUUGGAAAGCACUUAUUUUACAUCAUAAUAAUUUAGACAUAAUGCAUAUUGAGAAAAAUGUGUGACAAUAUAAUUGAGACAUUGUUCAGUAUUGACGAAGAAACAAGGACAACCUAAAUAGUCAUCUCGAUUUACAAGCUCUAACUAUUAGAAAUGAGAUUCACCCAAUAGAAAGCAGGACCAAAUUUAUUUUGCUUGCAACAUGCUACUCACUCACCCCAAAUGAGAUUAAGGAAUUUUGCAAGUUUUUGAAAUCAAUAAAGGUCCCCAAUGGCUAUUCUUUCAAUAUCUCUCGUUAUGUGCAACUCAAUGAAAGGAAGAUAUAUGAGCUCAAAUUGUAUGAUUGUCAUGUCCUAAUGCAACAACUUCUCUCACUUGUAGUUCGUGGAGUUCUACAUAAGAAUGUUUGUGGAGUUAUCAUAGAAUUGCGUAAUUUUUUCAAGCAAUUGUGCUCAAAGGUGUUAGAAACAAAUCACUUACACCAACUUGAGAACAAUAUUAUUGUCAUACUAUGUAAAAUGGAGCAAAUAUUUCUUCCAUCAUUCUUUGAUAUUAUGGUGCAUUUACUUGUGCAUCUAGUAAGGCAAAGGUUGCAAGACUUGUGCAAUAUUGUUGGAUGUACCUAAUUGAACGAUAUUGUUAUAAUUUCAUAUGAAUCAUUUAAUUUUAUUUUAUAUUAUGUUCAGUUCAUUAACAUGUACAUUGGUCUACAUAUGGAUGAUGAUAGGUACCUAAGCACUUUAAAGUCAUAUGUGCGUAAUAGAACUUUUCUAGAAGGUUCUAUUGUAGAAAGGUACCUUGCAAAAGAAUGUACAACAUUUUAUUCUAGGUACUUGAAUGAUGUGGAAAUAAAGUAUAAUCACAAUGAUAGAAACUUUGUUGGUUUCAACACUAGAGGAGAUGAAAGGGGUUAUCUUUAAACAUAUUGGACAUGCAUUGGGAAAGCCCAUAUUUCAUUAACUUAGUUCAAAAGAGUGGUCACAAGCACAUUUAUAUGUGUUGACAAAUUGCGAAGAUGUCAUACCAUUCAUUGAGUAAAAAAUUUAUUUGAAUUUUAAUUAAAGCUCUAGUUUAUAUCCUUAAUCAAUGUUUUUUAAAUUCACAAGGAGCACAAGCAAACCAUCAAGGCUAGACCACAUAUACGUGUUUGAGACGUAGAUUUAAUUCAUAACAAGGAAUUUAUCAAGUGGUUUGAAAGACAUGUAAGUAUAUUCCUUAUUAUAAGGGAUUUAUUUCACAUUAUGUUUAUAUUGAAUCCAAACCUAUUAUUGAAUUGUAGGUUGAACAAUUACAUAAUGAAGGUCAUAUAUCUGAACACCUUCUCACAUUAUCAUGUGUUCCAAAUUCAUUAGUUACAUGCUUCAAAUGAUAUAUUGUCAAUGGAUUUAGAUCCCACAUUAAAGAACGUGAUAAAAAAGUUUUUAAAAAAAGACUCAGAAUAAUGGAAUUGUUGUAGUUGCAAAAACGUCAAGCUUUACAAGUGCAUGUGAUAUGAGUCCAAUUAUUAGUGAUGCUCUCUACUAUGGUGUUCUAACUAAAGUUGUUGAGUUACAUUAUCUUGGUGAAAAUAAGGUUGUUUUAUUCGAGUUUGAUUGGUGGGAUGUUACAAAUAUUGGAAAAUUGAUAAAAGAUGAUGAGUACAAUUACACAUUUGUUAACUUUGCAUGAAUUCUAACCACGAACGAACGAUUUGUACUUGCAUCUCCAGCAAAGUAAGUGUUCUAUGUGAAGAAUGCGAAUGAAUCAGAUUGGCAUACUAUCAUGGAGAUGCAACCUCAAGACCUCUAUAAGAUGAACGGGAUAGGAUCCAAUGGUGAUUUUGAACCAUUUCAACAAAGUGAACUACAUGAUCACUAAUAUAUCUCAGAUUUAGUUGAUGAAGAUAUAAUCAAGUGGAACAAAAGUGAUGUUUUAGGACUAAUCAUCCUAAAAAAUAUUGUAGUUUCUUAAAAAAAAAAUGAAAAUGAAGAAGAUAAUUGAACCUUUGUCAUACUUUAAAAAGCAACUAUGCAUUGUUCAUUUUGUAUGUUUUGGUUUUCUUCAUUUAAUUUCCUGAUUUUUGUGAUUCAAUGUCAUAUUAUUGAUCUUGAAAUAUUUUUCUAAUUUUUCAUUCUACGAUGGUUUCAACAAGGAUGACAUCAAGUCAAAAAAGGAAAUGUGGUCCCACACACAAUAUUGCAUUACAGGGAUUAAGGUCAGGGAAGAAGGUAAAAGUUGCAUUUAAUGAGUACAAUCAAUUGGUUAAACAGAAAAAUGGAAAACACUUAUCGAGCUACAUAGGGACACUUGUAUCUAACCAACACAAUGUACCUCUCCAAGCUAGUGAUUGGAAAAAUGUUCCAAAUGAUGCAAAAGAGAAAGUAUGGCCUUUGUUUUGGUAUGUUGUAUUUCUCACUAUAUGAUGUCAUUUCACUGUUAUUCUAUUUUGUGACUAACGUUUGAAUCAUAUGUAAGAAAAAUUUGAAGUAGAUAAAGACUGAAAAGAUUACAUGUUGGGUAUAGCCUCAAAUAAAUAUAGAAGCUAUAAAAAUAUGAUGAAUGCAAAAUACUAUGACCCUUGGCAUAAGGAUGCAUGAGGAGAGGUUAAUACAUAAAUCACCAUUUGUCUCUGAUGUUGAUUGGAAGUGGCUUGUCUCUGAUGCAUAAACCAAAUCCCCCACUGAAUGUUUGAUAUUUGAUAGCAGGAAAAACACACCCGCAGCUAUACACCUCCAUCAUUCAGAUAAUUAUAGUGGGGGAGAUGAUUCAUGGUUGCCCUUAUACCCUUUAUUUGCACCAUCUAUUGAGAUUCUUUAUCAUGGCCAGGUUUUACUGCAGCAAUAAGAUAUGGUGGCAACAAUUUUAUCUAUAGGUGCGGUUCCAGACCGCCUCCAUAGGUGCGGUUCCUGACUGCCUCCAUAGGUGCCUCUUCUUGUAAUGUUUGUUCUGGGAAUUACACUUGAAAGCCUUAUCGUGAUAAGGGAUUACAAACACUAGUUCAGAGGACAGCCAUGUUAAACUUCCACUAUGUUUGUGUCACAUUAUCAGCAGCCUAGUGUUUAUUGGUCAUGCUAUCUGCAACUAAUAUAACCCGGUGAACUUCAAUCUAAAUUCUGAAAGUACUCAUGUGACAGAUGGUGCCUUUCAGCAGAUAUCAUCAAUUUAAAAGUAGUGUGUGUGCCUAUAGGUGGGAAGGCCUUGGCAAAUGUUCAGUAUUCCGGUAAUUCAAGAAGGAUAUAUCUAAAAUAGAUUUUCUUCUUGCCCAUUUCAAUAGUUAAAAUUUGAGAAGAUUGUGUCCACAUCACACAAAUAUUAUUGGUCCUUCUGUUGCAAUUUACCUCUGAACAUGUCUUCCAAUUCCCACGGUCCUGUUACUCCAGGAAAACUAUUUCGGUCAUAUUGAAAAAAAAAAUAUUAAAGAAGGUACACAUGCUUUUAAGUGGACUGGGGCAUUCAUAUCAGGUGGUCUGUAUCCACAUAUGCCACUUCGUGAAAGGUGGAACAGCCUAAUCACUAGGCUAUUUAGUGUGGCCCAGCCACGUUAAUCAAGCACAAGUCUUCAUACUUAAAGUCAAAUGGUGUCUUUAGUCUCAUUACACAUCGCUAUUUGAAGAUUAACUCAUCACUAGUGUAAUGCGAUUAAGACAGUCCUAACUCAAUAUUUGUUCUAGUUUUGGAUGCAAAUGCUUGCUGGUUUCAUCAUUGGAUGGGAUAAAGGUGCAAUCAGGACUAUGAAUACGUGCAGUAAUACUUCAUUCUCUUUUUUCUCAAUGAGACUUCUUGGCACAAUUUUGCUGCUCAGCAACCUACCUUUCCAUGGAAAAUCAGUUGUGACUGAUAGUAAUGGAUAUAUUCUAGAAAGCUAAACAUAGAUAGCAUUCAAUAUUAUCGAUAUAACAUUAACAGCGUAUGUCUCAAUGCUCAUCAGCUACAAGCAAUGGACAAACACUUUGAGUAACUCACAGCAGUCAAAAUUCCUAAACAGGACAGACGUGACAGAUCUAUAUAUAGAACACUGCAUAUGAGUCACAGGAAAAGAUAAUACGGGUACAUAGAAGCUCUUAUUUUACAUAUUACUCAUACUGAUCAAAGUCGCUCAGUUGGGAUGGAUGGGAGAAGGAGGUUUGAGGGGUGGCUUGUGCGGGGAAGUUGGCAGCUUCUUUCCGGGAGCUGGUUGCUUCUUUGCUGGAGUUGAAGGAGGCUUAAUCUUCCGAGGUGGCUUGUAUGAGUCUUCAGCAUUCUCAGCAGGAGGGUGACCAGGGUUGUGACCAUAAUGUGGUGGCUUCUCUCCCUUAGGUGGUUUGCCAACUGGGGUUGGUGGCUUGUUUUCUGGGAGUGGCUUCUCUCCCUUGGGUGGUUUGCCAACUGGGGUUGGUGGCUUGUGUUCUGGGAGUGGCUUCUCCCCCUUGGGAGGUUUUUCGAAUGGGGUGGGUUUGUGUCCUGGUGGUGGCUUCUCUCCCUUGGGAGGUUUACCAAUUGGGGUCGGUGGCUUGUGUUCUGGGAGGGGCUUCUCUCCCUGGGGAGGUUUAGUGGGUGGCUUGUGUUCUGGAGGUGGCUUCUCCACCGGAGGCUUAUGCUCUGGUGGUGGCUUCUCGAAGGGGGGAUGCUCAGGGUAAUCACCAAGUGAGGGGGUGGUGAGAACCACCAUGCCAAGCAACAACACUAGCAAGUAUGUAGUAGACAUCUUUGGGUUUGGACUCAGACAGUGCAAAACUACGAGAAAUCGCUAGCCCUUUAUAGCGGCUCGGACCUAAUACUGACAUAAUAUAAAAUAAAUAUUAUAUUUUAUCAAGAGAGAACAGAGUGUAAUUUUAUCAUUAAUACCGAUCGAGGCCAAAGAAAGAAGACCCAUAAUCCAUUUCCCACAAGCAUACACAAUGCAGCUGUAAUUUUAUCAUUUACUUUUAUCCCUUGGACCACUGCAUUUUUGUUGAGAGACACAAUAACACAUUUUUAUCUGUCAUUCAACAUUUACAGUAAAGAGAGGGCACAAAACGCAAUUAGAUAAAUUAUGUUUUGCCUGCUAAAAAGAGGCAAAUAACUUUAUUUGCAACAUAAUUAUUUUGGUUUCUAGUGACCCCGGGGCCUUUCGGUUGGUUUGGGAUCGGAAAAUGAACAUCAUAGGGGGGGUUGUGCCCUUAUGGGCAUAUAUAUCUGAUAGCUUCAACUGGCCUUGUUCCUAGAAAGAAAUUGCCAAAGAUAUAAACUUAUUCCAGGCUGAAAGUAGAUGAGAGUCAUAAUGAACAUCAACCUUUGUUCAGUUUGAUUCAAUGCCCCCAUAGUGUUCAUUUCACAGAUCUGAAUGAUUAUAUCCGUUGAAUACAUAAAUUAAUGAAGACAAAUAUGAAACCCAAGAUACAUCUCUGCAUAACAACCCCAACCCUGGUUGCUAUGUUUCCCUUCUUCUAUUCACAUGAGGAUACUGGUUAUAAUUGUCAAACUUGCAACAAGCCCUUUGACACCUAACGUCAAUGGACGAAUUAAAAGUCUCCUUCAAACGUCUAUUUCACAGCAUGAAGCUUAUAAAGGAUGCUGACAACCUUCAGAGUUAGCGACAAAAGAUAAUUAUCAAGGAGAGAUAGUUCCAUGAGAAUUCCAAGGAGUCUGAAUCAAAGACAAAUUGCUCACUCAAGGGUUCUUAUUUUCUUUUAGGUACAAAUCUCUUGAGUGUUGUUAAAGAAACACGUCACUGUCAUUUUGAUUUGCAUUUAACAUUUCACUUUUGUUCUGGAAGGUUUGUUCCGGAAACAUAUCAAAUGAGCAUCAUUUUCUUCUUCGGUGACACAUGGUCGCGAGUACGUGGGUCCAUUUUCAUGCCACUUAGUUGAAAAGUUGGAAAGAAAAAACAUGCCAACAAGAAGAUAGUGAGAGAAGGGGCACUUCAAGCCUUUAACAUGAACAAACAGUAAAUAAAAGAUGUUUCUCCACUCAUAAAAGUGUGUUAGAUAGCAAUAUAACGAAUCACAUCCAAAAUCUUUACUAGGCUCAAACAUAAAGAAGACUCAUUUUUAAGAAAAGAUAAAAAUGGCAUUGUCUGAUAGUAUCCAAUACACGAGAUGGCACUUAAUUUGUACAAGAUCUGUCAAUGCUGACGCACAUUUUCUGAUUAAAAAAAAACUGAUCAGUCAAAAGCAAUGAAGAGAAGUGAUGACAAUGAAUGAUGCUUCCAAUAUUUUCACCCCUUAUAGUGUUCUUCAUGAUUCAGAUAUAUAAUUGGAAAUAGAACAACCCUAUGCCAUACAUUCGUCUAAGUAUGGUGUCUAAUUUUUUGUGUCAGCGGUUGCGAAUGGAGCGUGCAAAAGUCCAAAUUGGCGUCUCUCCAUUUCCACAUAGGAAGGUGACCUUUAUUGACAAAUACCCAAUAUUUGUAGACAUUCCUUAAAUAUCAUAACUUCUUGUUGAUUUGAAAAUCAUUUUUCAACUACCAUGUUUUAAUAAAUAUUUUUUAAAAUGUAUUUUUAUCAAAGUCCACCAUGAUGGAUAAUAUUCACCAUGCAAUAAUUAAUAAAGUACAAACUAAGCGAAAUGAAAAGCAUUUUCUUUGCUUUGAGUUGAUUUUGGUUGCAUUGAGUUGAUUUUGGUUUCAUGGUUUUUUCAACUCUUAUUUUGAUUGGAAGAUGUCAAGAAAAGAAAACAUAAAGAAAAAUUAAAAGGGAAAAAAGAAGAAAAAUAAAAAAAAAUAGAUUUAAAAGUUAAUAAAUUAUUUUUUAUAUUUAUUUUAAUUCAUUUCACUUAUUUUUCUUUUACUAUAUAAAAUUUAAAUAAUUUAAAUUUUAUAAUUAAUUUAAUUACAUUUCAUUUUCUUCUAUAUUUAAAUAUUGGAAAAAUAUUUUACUUAAUAUUUUUUUCUUUAAUUUCUUUGGCAUUUUGGGAACCAAACUUAGCCUUUAAAAUAAAAAACAAAAAAAAAAUGAAAAUAAGGAGGGAAAAGUGAGAAAAGAUAAAAACAAUAUGUAAAGGAUUUGAAAAGUAUUAGUUUGUAAUUACUAUUUGGAUUUCAAUAGUAUUUUAUUUGUCUUUCUAUAUUUCAUGUAAGAGAGAAUUUAAGAUAUUCCCCAAGGCAAAGCAUUAGUUACCUGCAAUCAGUGGUGAUAAGGCUCCAAGCCAAUUUUGGGCCCCAUAUCUUAAGACAGUACAAUUUCCAUUUCAACAUUUCUGAUUUCUCAGAUGUUUCACAUACCACAGAAGAACAUUGUUUGUGAAAAUAUGCAUUUAUGUUGGAUUUUGUAUGCUGUGGGGACUGGGGCAAGGAUCAUAUGGAAGAGUGGUUGACUUUUUCUGUACUUUAACGGUUGAAAUAGGAUAAGCACGGGCAUUUGUGAGGCUUAAUUGAUUUUGAAGCCUGAAAUUGCGUUUCUGUCAUUUUGUCAAAAAAAUGGCAGAUUCCAUACUCAUAUGUUUGGCCUGUGGCCAUGUACAGAUGCCAUUUAGUGACCAGUUUGUAACUGUCAAUCGUUGCGUUUUGACUCUGCCUCAACAACAUCUGCCAUUGACGGGUUUUCAUACUUGCAAAUCAAAUAGUCUUUCGUCCCAUCAGGAAUUUCGGUUUAAAUAUUAUUAAGCAUACGUUUGGCUGACAAUCAUUAUCCAGUUCAUGAUUUGGUUUCUUACCCUUAAUCAAUGGUUUCUAAGUGAAUAUAUGUAGAAGGAAAUCCGAAGUGUAGACAGUAGUAUCGAUAACUCUCAAUAUUCUCUAUAUAAUAGAAUAAACAGCGUCAUAGUGAUCGUCGCCUACAAGCAAGGUACAAAUACCAAAACGAGUGACUCACAUAGACAUCUCCCAACAAGAUGUAGUAGUGACUGACACAUGGACACAAUUAACUCGUAGAAAAGGAUAAGACCAUUGCACAGCAGCUCUUAUUUUACAUACUACUUAUGCUAACCAAAGUCAAUUAGUUGGGAUGGGUGGGAGAUGGAGGUUUGUGCGGUGGCUUGUGGGGCGGAGUUGAUGGCUUCUUUCCAGGAGCUUCUGGCUUUUUCAUCGGAGCUGAAGGAGGCUCAAUCUUAUGAGGCGGCUUGUAUGAGUCUUCUUUACUCUCGACAGGAGGGUGGCCAGGGUUGUGAUCAUAAUGUGGUGGCUUCUCUCCCUUAGGUGGCUUGCCAACUGGGGUUGGUGGCUUGUGUUCAGGAAGUGGUUUCUCUCCCAUGGGAGGUUUAGCAAUUGGGGUUGGUGGCUUGUGUUCUGGGAGUGGCUUCUCUCCCUUGGGAGGUUUAGUAGGUGACUUGUGUUCUGGAGGUGGCUUCUCCACCGGAGGCUUGUGCUCCGGUGGUGGCUUCUUGGUUGGAGGGGGCUUGGGGUAAUCAGCAAGAGAUGGGGUGGUGAGAACCACCAGUCCAAGGAACAACACUAGCAAGUAUGUGGGAGACAUUUUUGAGUUUGGGCUGAUCAGAUGAUGCAAAACUAAAGCAUUACGUGACCUUUUAUAGCAUGUAGCUCCCAAUACCCACUAAGUAUUGUGGGGUCCAUUUGUGCCCUACGGGGUUGAAAACUUAGACAAUUGGGCAAGGACCCACCUGACUAUGGAGGACUAGUGAGGUGUGAUCAUAGCUUUAGGAUUUUUCUUCCUCUGCAGCCGUCGUGCCGUUGGCAUGAUUUUCUUAAUCUUAAAUAAAGGCAUAGUUAUAGAGUUGUUUAAUCUCUAAAUGGGAUUUUAUAUAUAUCUUCAGAUAGCCAUUAAUAUAUUUGAUGAAGAAAGAAAGACAAGUGCAUACAACAUGUAUACGACUAGCUUUCAUGGAGUUCAUUUAUGAUCAGUUUUCCUGUACAUGUAAACCAGGAUCAUAUAUAUGUUUCUGUUCCACAACUAUUUUGGAAUCUUGUUUAUCAGUUUUUAUCAUUAUAAUGUCACAUAGGCUGCCAACUUGGGCGCUAAAAGAACCAGUUGGGCUAGUUCGUUUCAGAAUUUCAAUGUGGAUUCAGGAAUUGUUUUGUAAGAUAUGCGAAAUAGUAGAGGGAUGAAUAGUGUUUCAUUAAUAAAAGUGUCCUGUAAAUUAGAAGGUGUCAUAGAAACUAUAAUCAAUAAAUAACUUUUUUUCCCCACGGGUGGUGUUUCUUGUGGGGAUCAGUGACUGGUUUAGGUUCACCCAAAAUGAGUUCAGACUAAAAUUGGUUUGAGUCAAUGCCGUGUCUCUUUUUUCCAGAAAUCAACUAUUUUAUGCAUUGAAUAAAUCAUACAAAGAAAAUAUGAACGCCCGCAAAACCUAAACCCUGGUUGCUAACUUUCUAUGUUUCAGUUCUAUUCACGCAAGAAUAUUAGUUUAAGUUUGGGAAAAAUGGCAACUUACCUAGUGAUUACUUGGUUUUGGUUUGCGACUAUUUACGCAACCAACCAUGAGUUUGACUUUAACGUCAUGGGUUGAAGCCUCCUACAGGAAGGGAGAAAGCUCCACAGCUAGCUCCAAAAGAGAAUUAUCACAUUGAUAGCUCCAGAGAUUCCCAAGGGGACUGAAUCAAAGACAAGUUCCUCACUUUUUCUUCUUUUGAGGCCAAAUAUGAACCAAGGAUCACACAACCUCAUUCAACUUCAUAAGUUUGAUUUCAUGCAGUUGAACACUGGGUGAAGGCCAUGACAAGAAUUGAUUCAAAAAUUCUAUCACUCUUUUAAGUAAUGGAAGAUUAUUAUCUCUGAUUGGCAUCACAACAGCACAUGCUCCUAGAUCUUUCUAGACACUCCAUGCAAUGAAAGCACAAUGGAUCUUGUAACGAUAGAAACUAAGCCAUGCUACAGUACUAGAUGAUGAGGUAAAACUAGUAGACACGGGUGGCAGCCUAUAUGGGAGGGACACAAGUCUAAUUGAUUUGCAUUUCAGCAUUAUAGAUAGGUAUGUUUUGGAAGAUUUGUUCUGGAAAUACCGCACCAAGUAGGAUUCUUUUUCUCUUUAGUGGGUCCACUUGCAUGCCAAUUAACGAGUUGAAAAGUAUGAGCACCUACCUCGUGCUCGUGGAACCGAAGGUCAGUGAAGUGGGGCUCCUUUUGGCCUCGUGUAAACUUGAUUCAGAAGUGAAGUUAAUAGUCUUCCAUUCAGAUGGAUACAUGGGAAUUUUUCUCUUUUAUUUAUUUAUUUAUUUUUUUUUUGUGUGUGUAUGUCAAAGGAUAAUGAAUGAAGCGCGUUAGCUUGUUUUCUGACUGGAACCGCAGAUGUCCAAAUUGGAGUUCCUUCAUUUCUUACUUAGGAUUGUUACAUGUAUAAACAAGGUAUAAGAAAUAUGCCAACGUGUCUUGAGGAGUUAUUGAUUAGAAAUAACAAGUCACCCGACUGUAGAGUUCCAAGAUUUGAAUCUUCAGACCCUAUAGCAGCCUCUGGGGUACGUGGCAUCCUAUAGCAUAUUAAUGAAGGCUUUUUCGAUUUAGACUUCACAAUACCAAUUAAUAUGUAUGCACAAAAUGGAGAUGACCCCAAAAAAAACAGAAUCGCCAUAGUUUAUGAGGUUAAGGUGAUUCUCCACUUAAUAUCUACAUUAGCUAAUUAUGUAAAUCAAAUGAACUUCUAUUUUUCCUUUUUUUUUUUGGUUUAUGUCAAAUAGUAGCCCAUAAUUAACCCAACCAUUAGCCUGUUUGAAUUGAUUUCACAUGCACAAUGUUGUAGUAGUUCAUAUUUUGAAUUUUAUUUUUACAAAGGUAGUUAAGGAAAAUGAAGUAUAAUAAUUAUAAAAGCAGACUAUAUACACUACAAUAAUUGUUAGAAUGGUAUCUCAAAUUCUAAUUUAAAAUAUUAUUUUUUGUAAAAGAAAUAUUAUAUAGAAUAUUUCCUAAUUUUAUAAAUGAUUAUAAUUAGAUCUUUAUAAAAUAAGGAAAGUUGGUAAGAAUAUCUUUAUAAAUAUUUUAGGUCAUGAGAGAAAGAAAUGGGAUAAAAAUGUGAUGAAGAGGUGAAAUAAGAGAGUUGAUUAGGAUAUAGAUGUGAAGAAGAAAGGGAUUCAAUAUAUAUAUAUCUUUCAAUUACCACAUUAAAACCCUGUGAACCUUUUAUAUGGUUUACUUUAUUUUUAUAUUCCUCCUUUAAUAUAUUUACAUUAAUGCUUCCAUUGGCACAACAAUAACGAAUUACAAAUACAAGCAACAAGUCCCAUGUUUUAUUACCAAAAGCAGGUAAAAUCCACCUAAUAUAUUACAAUAUAUUCAUCCAAUAUUUUAGACCAAUUCUUCACCAUAAAUAUCAUAAUGUGGCUUUUGUUCUUUCUUAAAUUUAAAUUGAAUUGUCUUAUAUCAAUUUGUUUGUGAUUUUUUCAUUAACUUCACUUUCAUUUGGUUAUCUUUGGUUUUUGAAAAGUAUUAAGGAAUUAAUUAACAAAAUAAUGUUAAGAAAAAUAAUUUUCUCUCUUUUGAUUUUGAUUUUGUAGUAGAAAAAUAUAAUUAAAAUUAUUUAAAAAGUAUGUAAUUUUAAAUUAUUUAAUAUUUAGAUAAAAAAAAUAAGUCUAAUGAGUUUAAAAUAACAUAUAAAAAUAAUUUAUUUAUUUUAAAUUUAUUUUUUAUUUUCCAUUAUGUUCUCUUUCUCUUUUACUUUUUCAUAUUUUUUCUUACGAAGAAUCAAACACAACCUCAUAUUAUAUGUCAAGUGUUUGUCUAUAUUUGAGCAAUGUUAGAUACGGCCAUGGAUUCAUCAAACUAAACUGAUUUUAAUAGAUACUUCACAAAUUGAUUUAUACACUAAAUCAUUGGAUAGCAAUGAUGCAUUGGAAUUAAACGUAGGAUGAAGCUCGAAGAACACUGUUUGUGUAACAACAUAUUUAUGAAAUUAUGCAAAGGAUGAGCUUCGGGGUAGUAGUACAAGGUCAUUAAUGGAGAGCCGUGUUAAACCUUGAUUGUGAUUGGAUUCCGUUAUCAGCAACAGCAACCUUGUUUGUAACCUUGAAAGUCAUUCUGUCCACAUCGAAACUCCAAUUUGACGUUUGUAAUUACCAUUCCUGGAGUGUUCCUUGAUUGAAAUUUAAAUAAUAAUUGCGGCCCACAAGGAAUAUUUUCGAUUCUGUGGGAAUUUGACAAGGUUUGUUAGAGAAGACUGGUGACAUGUUGACUUCAAUGGUUCAAAUAGGAGACGUAUGUGGAUUUGGGGGGUUUAAUUGAAACUGAGUCCCUAUGGCUUUUUAAUAUUUGCAUUGAGCAGUCUCCAUGUGACUUCCUAAUUCCCACCAACCCUCCUGUCCAUGCUGUGAAACUAAAUUGUAAUUUAUCAGCCUUUGUCAAUGGUUUCUAAAUUAAAGAUAUAGACCAUGCAUGUACUUUAAUAAAAGCAAAUCUAAAGUGUAGAUAGCAGCAAUGGUGACACCCAAUAUUCUCCAUAAAAUAGAAUUAGAAUAAGCAGUGUUACAUUGUUCAUGAUCACCUACAAGCAUACAAGAACUUCCAUGAAUAACUCAUAGCAAUUGCCAACAGGGCGUCGUAGAGACUCAUACAUAGAACACUAUCCACCCAGAGGAAAGGACAAGACCAGUGCGCUGCAGCUCUUAUUUUUCACAUGUAUACCACCACUCGUAAUAACCAAAUUCACUCAGUUGGGAUAGGUGGGAGAUGGUGGUUUGUGGGGUGGCUUGUGGGGAGGAGUUGGAGGAGGCUUUAUUUUCUGAGGCGGCUUGUAUGAGUGUGCAGGAGGAUGCCCGGGAGUGUGACCAUAAUGUGGUGGCUUCUCUCCCGUAGGUGGUUUGCCAAAUGGGCUUGGUGGCUUCUCUCCCUUAGGAGGUUUACCAAUUGGGGUUGGUGGCUUGUGUUCUGGGAGUGGUUUCUCUCCCUUGGUAGGUUUGCCAAUUGGGGUUGGCGGCUUAUGUUCUGGGAGUGGCUUCUCUCCCUUGGGAGGUUUGCUAAUUGGGGUUGGCGGCUUAUGUUCUGGGGGCGGCUUCUCUCCCUUGGGAGGUUUGCCAAUUGGAGUUGGCGGCUUAUGUUCUGGGAGUGGCUUUUCUCCCUUGGGAGGCUUGCCAAUUGGGGUUGGCGGCUUAUGUUCUGGGGGUGGCUUCUCUCCUUUAGGAGGUUUGCCAAUUGGAGUCGGCGGCUUAUGUUCUGGAAGUGGCUUUUUUCCCUUGGGAGGUUUGCCAAUUGGGGUUGGCGGCUUAUGUUCUGGGGGUGGCUUCUCUCCCUUGGGAGGUUUGCCAAUUGGAGUCGGCGGCUUAUGUUCUGGGAGUGGCUUCUCUCCCUUGGGAGGUUUUGUUGGUGGCUUGUGUUCUGGAGAUGGCUUCUCCCCUGGAGGCUUGUGCUCCGGAGGUGGCUUCUGAAAUGGCGGGGGCUUGGGGUAAUGAGCAAGAGAUGGAGUACUGGUGAGAACCACCAUUCCAAGCAACAAUACUAGCAAGCAUGUGGGAGACAUCUUUGAGUAGUUGUAGCUAAGAUGGCGCAACACUGUAGGCAUUGGGUGGCCUUUUAUAAAGGGCUGGACCCAACAGCCAUAUGACACGUGUCAUGAUGACAAAUGAAGUUGAGGGGAUCCAGAUGGGUCCUACUGAGUCGAAAACUUGCACUAAUUGAUCUGGUGAGAUGACUAUUUCUGUCCUUUUGCCCUUCUCGGCCACCCUGUGCUGUUUUCCUUUUGCACGAUUUUCGUUGCCAAACAAGCAAAUAAUAUUUCGCCAAGAAAGAGGAGAGUGAAUGUGGAAUGCAUCAAGUCCCAUCAAGGAUGGCAGAGAAGAAAUAGAAGAUUGCCCAACUGUGAUAAACAUAGCAUACACGUAGCACCAGGAACUUCAUUUACUUCCAUCUAAUGGAACAUAACAAUCUUCUAAAGUUUUUGCAUGAUUUUGUUAUAUGUCUCUUAGCCUAAAGUUGGAAAUGCGCAACAAAUUUUGUCACUUCUCUAUUUCCCACUGAUGAUGUUAAUUAGCCUUCAUAGAUAUCAUCCUUUCUACAAAGUGCUUCAUUUGUGUGUUAUUGUAAAGUGUAAGAAAAGUAAUUGAACAUGUUCUUUUUCCUUUCAUAGAUGACUUUUGAUGUGCAUUUUAAAAGCAGCGCUGUGAGUCGGUGACCUUGAUUCACACGGAAACUAAGGCUCCUAUAGGACCCACUUUUAGCUGGUUAGGGGUGAAGAAAAUAUCAACUUUUCAGAGUGAUUUAAGUCAAGGCCAAGCCUCACUGUGUCAUUACUCGUGUGAAUUUUAUAUGCACAUACAUACAUAAAUAAAGUAUGAGACCCAAAUAACACCUUCCCUUUACAAACUUAACCCCAGCCGCUCUCUUUCAAUUCUUUUCACACAAGGGUAUUGACUCUAUAAAGGUCAAGAAAAUCAUAAUUUCCUAGGGUUUACAAGGUAAUUGGCUUAAUGCUAAUGUGAAAACAUAAAAGAUAAUAGUAUAUUGUAAGCUAACGAAUAUUCUAUAGUUAUAAUUAUUUGUGAUGUGCAUAAAUAAAUCUUCAUAUAUAUAAUGGAACAAUGAAUAAAGAACCAAUGAAAAAAUACUAUAUAUCAUUGCUUGGCAUUUAAACCGUAUAUGCUGCUCUUUCUAGCUACUCCAUCCACUGAAAGACAACAAGGUAAUCCAUGUUAUAAUGAUAGAAGAUACUGUCUCUAGGCUUUUUGUGAUGAAAAAUAUAAGAUAUGGGUAGGGUUGACCCUUGUAUGUUUGUCCUAUAAACACUUCAAAGUAACAUAUUUUUCUUCUUUAGCAACUCAUAAUGAUGGGGUUCAUUUGCAUGUCACUGAGUUGAAAAGUUGGACAAUUGCCCAUGUCGCCUUCCUCCUAGAUUCCGUAGUUCACGGGAAGGUAACUCAAGUUUGACAUAUUUUGAAUUCUUUUCACUCGGACGUCUUCAUAACCUGACAAAACAAAAAUGAAAAACAGAGGAUUGGUAUAUUAUUCAUGGUAAGCCUCAAAUUAUAGUAGUAUGAGAAAGGAGAAAAAGAUUUUGGGAACUCCAAUCUGGAUAAUUCUCGUUUCUUCUCUUGAAUAAAAAUUUCACUUACCUAACUUCGUUUGGAGAAAUGGCAUAUUUUAAUUUUGUACGUCAUUGCUAAUAAAUGGAGCAAUUUAGCAUGUUUUGUGACUGAAACUGCAAAUGUCCAAUUGGCAUUUCUUCAUUUCCCACUUAGGAUCUGAUCUUGUAGACCAUAUAACGAUAUGUAUCUGUGCAAGCAUUGAAAACUAAUGUGAACUAUGAGGAGUUACAAGCCACUGGACUGUAGAGCGAGUGCCAAGAUUUAAAUCUUCAGGCUCUAUCUGGGUAAGGGGAGGAUAGCGACCUAACCUUUUACCAAAGGCUUAGAAUUUAGACUUUUGGAAAAAAAUUUCUCAUGUUUUGGCUGGAUUUCUUGUGCUUGGCGCAAAAAGGAGAUGGCCUCAAGAAAUAGCAGACUCACUUUUGUUUUCAGCCCUUAAUAAUUCUCCACUGCUUUCCAUAACUACAUGGGUUAUACAUGCAGUCUGCUGCAAUAUUCCAGUUAUAUUUAUUAUUUCAAAGAGGGUGAAUGACUUCACAUGCAAUAUGUUGCAGUAACAACCCAAAUUUUGGCACACCAUCUUAAGAAUAGAAAAGUAUAAUAAAAGAAAUCAAUCAGAGAAUCACUUUGCAUGCAGUUCAUAGAGUUCGCCCAAAAUGGAGCCACAUGUACGGACAACCCCACAAUAGACAAUCUUCUCUAUACAGUAAUAAAAUACAGAAAUGGUUAAUGAAGCUCUGUAUUUCCUUAUCAUAUAUGACCGGUUGAAAACUCAGCAAGUCUUCCUCAAUCACAGACAGUUGGAGUUGCUUCAUCAAAAUCAUGCCUUCAUUACUGGCUUCAUUUUGGUUUCAAUGUCUGUUCUACCCUUAAAUUGGGUCUCUGCUUACUACCGGGAUAUCCUUUAGCGUCCUGCAAUUCUACUAGAUUAAAGAGAAUGACUUAAUUCUGCAUUCUGCCGUCCCUAGUCCAAGUGGUACUAGAAUUGAUGUUUCCUUUAGUGUCCUUUCUUCAUACUUUCAGGUUCUUCCCUUGUUUCAAUAAUGCUGUUUUCCUUCAUGUUUAACCUCUGUUGAACCACUUAAAACAACACAAUUUGCACACCAAUGUUUCUUUACAGAAAAGACUGUUUGCAAAAAUGCACAUGUUAUAAGGUUAAUGGAAGAAUUAAUUUGGGGAUAAGGGACUAGGAUUGGGCCAAUGAAGUUUGGUGUUAAAUUUUGAUUAUGAUUGCUUUUCAUUAUCAGGUACCUUAUAUUUGCUGAUGCUAUCUGGAACUAAAUUCAAAUCAGACAUUAUCCGAUUACUAACAGGACAUAUCAUGUCCCUCUGCAGAGUUUCUAAACUAACAUGUAUCGAAAUGUGGCCCCAAAAGGAAGGCUAGGAAGAUGGAGGAUUUUGUAGGAAUCGACCAGAAUCAGAUGGAAGAGAGAUAGUCCUGUUGACUUUAAUGGUUGUGAUAGGAACAUGCAUCAUUAUAUGAGAAGUUGCAUGAAUUUAUGUAUCCUGUUAUCGUUCCUUGACGAUUUCCCAAUGCAAUUUCACUGUCCACAAGACUAACCUCUCCAUGCAGUCAAAUGAAUUGUAAUUUCUCUAUUGGUACCAGUAGUACAUUUCAUACCAAACAUAUAGUAAAUAUAAAAUAUAAAUAGAUCAAGGAAAUCUGAAUUGUAGAUAGCACUGCAAGUAACACUCAAUAUUCUCUAUAUAUAAUAAAAUAAACAGUGUCACAAUACUCAUCACCCAGUGGCAAGGGAGAAAAACCUACAAUGAGUACUCAAAUCACCAUUCUCAAACAGAAACAUAGCAGUGACUGAUACAUAGAACCUAUAUGCUCACAGGGAAAGAAUAAGAUGACCAGUGCACAGCGGGCAGCAGCUCUUAUUUUACGUACAACUCAAAUCCCAAACUAACCAAAGUCGCUCAGUUGGGAUGGGUGGGAGAUGGUGGUUUGUGGGAUGGCUUCUGGGUAGGAGCUGGUGGCUUCUGUCCCUUUGGUGGUUUGCCUAAUGAGCUUGGUGGCUUGUGCUCCGGGAGUUGUUUCUCUCCCUCGAGUAGGUUUCGAGUCUUGUCAGAUGGCUUGUGUUCUGGUGGUGGCUUCUCUCCCUGGGGUGGUUUGCCGAAUGGGCUUGGUGGCUUGUGUUCGGGGAGUGGCUUCUCUCCCUGGAGAAGGUUACGAGUUUUGUCAUAUGGCUUUUGUUCUGGUGGUGGCUUCUCUCCCUGGGGUGGUUUGCCGAAUGGGCUUGGUGGCUUGUGUUCGGGGAGUGGCUUCUCUCCCUGGAGAAGGUUACGAGUUUUGUCAGAUGGCUUGUGUUCUGGUGGUGGCUUCUCUCCCUGGGGUGGUUUGCCGAAUGGGCUUGGUGGCUUGUGUUCGGGGAGUGGCUUCUCUCCCUGGAGAAGGUUACGAGUUUUGUCAGAUGGCUUUUGUUCUGGUGGCGGCUUCUCUCCCUGGGGUGGUUUGCCAAAUGGGCUUGGUGGCUUGUGUUCGGGAACUGGCUUCUCUCCCUUGGGAGGUUCAGUUGGUGGCUGCUGUUCCGUAGGUGGUUUCUUCACCGGCGGCUUGUGCUCCGGAAGCGGCUUCUCUACCUGGAGAAGCUUACGAGUUUUGUCCGAUGGCUUGUGUUGUGGUGGUGGCUUCUCUCCCUGGGGUGGUUUGCCAAAUGGAGUUGGUGGCUUGUGUUCGGGGAGUGGCUUCUCUCCAUUGGGAGGUUUAGUUGGUGAUUGGUGUUCCGUAGGUGGUUUCUGAAGUGGGGGAUGCUUGGGGUAGUCAGCAAGAGACGAGGUAGUGAGAACCACCAGUCCCAGCAGCAACACUAGCAAGCAUGUGGAAGACAUCUUUGAGUUCAGGCUGAGAUCUGUGCAAGGAUAACAGAAUUAGGUGGCCUUUUAUAGAGGCCUGGACCCAACACCCAUAUGACACGUGUCAUGCACUCAUGGUGACACAUAAUUCUAUGGGACCAUUUGGGUCCUACAGAAGUUGCAAAGUUGGACUACUGAGGUGUGAUCACAACUUUUGUCCUUAUUGCUUUCUCUGCGGCCAUUGCACGAUUUCCUUUAGCAUCAUUUUCUUGGCUAAAUAAGCGUAUUAUAUUUGUGGCAGACCGUCCACGUGUCAUAAACAGAUAUAUUAUAAUAAUGUAGUAUGCUUUUCUCCAAUGGAACAUGACACUCUUCUAAGUCUUGUUUUAAAUAUUGUGCAGGAUUACUUUAUACGUUGCAGUUCCAAGUCAAAAUUGGUGGGCAAACGUUGGCCUUUUUUCAUUUCACCUAAGAUUAAUGCUCACCUGGGAUAGGCACUACAUGACUUAUCUGCUCUUUUACUGUAAAGUUGCUUUGUGUAUGAGAUACACCUCCCCUGCACACCCUCAACAUUCGUUGCUCUGUUUUCCUUGUGUCCAGACGAGGAUAUUAAUUGGAGGCUGACAAAACGACUGCUAGCCCAGGAUUUACAAGGUCCUGGUUUGAGGCUUCGGUGAAAGUAUUUUUGAAAAGACACACAUAGAGAUAGUGCGUUUGGUGCAAUGCAGCACUGUGAGCCAUUCUGACGCGUUCUUAAUUUCAAAACUAAUGAAUGCUUCAAAAUUUUAAGAAGUGACAUUUCCAAAUAUUUGAGUUCGUUUAAUUGAACAUUGGAUAACUAGUGAUCAUAGAUUAUUAUCUGUGCUUGGCACUAUAAGAGGGUAUAUGCUUCUUUUUCUGGCCCCUCCUUCAAGGGAGGAGGGACAAUGUGAUCUGUAACGUUAGAAGCUAUUCCAUGUCAUCUUUGGGCUCAGUUCAAAACUAAAAGAUAAUGGGGGGGGGGGGGGGGGGCAUAUCAUUUUAUAUUUCUUCUAGAAGGUUUGUUCUGGAAAUAUUUCACAGGAGCAUAUCUUUUUCUUCUAUUACGUCAUCCGCAGCCUCCAAUAGGUCGGUUAACAAGCCACCGAGUUGAAAAGUUGGAAAAAUGGGAACACAGCCCGCCUCUUGUAUUCAGUAGUUAAAUAAAAGGUCACUAGAAGUGAGAUCCCUUUUGGCGUCUUGAUUUUCAAUCCAGCACCUCUGUGACCUGACAAACCAAAAAAACUAAAAAAUAAAAAACAGUACGUGGGUUGGUGUUAAGCAUCAAGACAUGUUAAUGAAAGAAGGUAGAGAAUAGGAUAUUGAAAUCCCAAUCCUGAUAACAUGAUUUUCUUUGCUAACAACCAUAUUAUAUUUUAUCAAGAAAGAGUAAUGCAUGUGGCGUCCAUCAAGACCCAUUAGAGUUCCGCUAAAGCUAUAGUUCUGUCAACGUUAUCAUUUACGUUUCCUCUAGAUAAUGGCAUUUUCCUCUAAAGCUCUUGCACCAUUAGGCUUCAAGUCAAAAUUUCACAUGUGAACUUUGGAAAUUUUCUCCAUUUGCCCCUAAGGAUACAGUUAGAAUUGACUUAAAAUCCUGAUUGAUAUGUACUAUUAACCAAAGAAUAUUGUAUAUAAUAAUUGAAAUAUUGUUGAUUCAUCGUGGAAAUACAUUUUGUAAGGAAAGUUGUUGAGAAUUUAGUAUGCUAUAUGGAGAAAAAAGUCAUGACUUAAGGUUGUGUAUGUAUAUUCUAUAUCAAAUAUUAGGUAGGAAUGUGGGAAAGAGCAGAGUGUAAUGAUAAGAAACAAAGAAAUAUAAGAUAUUCUUGAAAGUGGAAAAUAUAAAAUGGCUAACGAGUCAAAUUUAUGAUGCGUAAGGGGGAUCAUGUCACAUAAGAAAACCAUGGCAUACUAAAGACGUACGUGUGGUAUGGAGUAAUAAUUUUGUUAAAAUAAGUUUCUUGUUGGAGUACAUUAGGUGACUAUUCAUAACGUAUCAAAUUAAAGAGUCAAGUGCAUCAAUGAAGGCAUAUGUAGAAAAUUUGUUUGUGACAUGUACCAUAAAGAUAAGAUUGACUUGAUAGAAUUUAGUCUAAGUAGGAGUUGUUAAAGGUGUCUUAAAUUUCUAAUUGAUGUAUAUUUUUUUCUAAAAAAAUAUUAUAUAGAUAUUUUAAUAAAUGAUUAAUUCUUUGUAAAAAUACUUACAUAAUAAAAAACAUCAUUAAAAAUAUCUUUAUAAAUAUUUUAAGUUACAAGAAGGAAAAAAACCACUGUGAGAUAAUGAUGAACAUGCAACACUGUACCAAGUAAAUAAAAAUGUGAUAAAAAAAAAAGAGAAACACUCGAUAAAGGAAGGCUCGUAUAUAAAGAGUAAUAUUUUUAAUCAUAUGAUAGAAUGAUUUUCUCUCAUUCAUGAAUAUAGGCAAGAUUGGGGAACCAUUAUAAAAUUUUGUACACCUCGUGUAAAUUGAUGUUUGUCUUCAUAUUUUACACCAACAAAUGACAUUGAAGUUGUCAUUGAUAAAAGGGAAAAGGCAUGCCUCCACACCAUGUGCUUGAUUCGAAUGGUUCAAGUUUGAAGAAUUUUCUCCGGAAGAUCUAAAACAUUUUCGCCUUUAAAUUUCAUUUGAUUAUUAAUAUCCGAAAAAAUAGUUAAAUACUCUUUCUAUUUUUGAGUUGUUGAAUUUUUUGAAAGUUUUUAUAUUUGUUAUCAAGAAUUUCUAUUUUAUUAAGGGUGAAUAUUUAUAAAUAAGAUAUUAUAUAAUAUUUGGAUAAGAGAGAAUGGUGGAAUAUAAUAAAGUUUUAAUCCUUCCCAAUUUUGAACCUUUUUUUUUUUUUUUGAUAUAAUCGCCUUUCUCUUGCAAUCCUAUUAUCAGGUACCUUAUAUUUGCUGAUGCUAUCUGGAACUAAAUUCCAAUCAGGCAUUGUCCAAUUACUAAUAGGACAGAUCAUAUCUCUCUGUUUCUAAACUAACAUGUAUCGUAAUGUGACCUCAUAAGGAAGGCUAGGAAGAUGGAGGAUUUUGUGGGAAGCGACCAGAAUCAGAUGGAAGAGAGAUAGCCCUGUUGACCUAAUGGCUGUAAUAGGAGAAGCGUGUGGUUUUAUGGGACUUAACUGAUACUAAACCUGUAUGAUGCUUGGAGUGGUGUUUCUUUCAUUUUGUUAAGAAAAUAUGGCAGCAUACAUGCUUUCAACUGAGUGCAUCAGAGCAUCCAUAACAGAUGGUCUGCAACCCUAGGUGCAUGCCACUUUCUGACUGAUAAUGAAAUUGUCAGGUACCUGGCCUUGACUAAGCUCAACAGCAUCACAUAAAGAGAAGCUUUCAUACUUAGAUUACUGUUUAAAGUUUUUGCUUAUUUGAUUUCUUAAUGCCAUUAUGACAUUAUUGAUUCAAUUCUGCUUCCGAUUUUCGAAGUUCUGGGCAUCUACUGAUUGCAUCAUUAUAUGAGAAGUUGCAUGAGUUUAUGUAUCCUGUUAUUGUUCCUUUGCGAUUUCACUGCUCACGGGACUAACCUCUCCAUUCAGUCGAAAUGAAUUGUAAUUUCUUUACUGGUAGCAGUAGUACUUUUCAUAGCAAAGAUAAUAGAAAAUAUGAAAUAUAAAUAGAAGGAAAUCUGGAUUGUAGAUAGCACCAUAAGUAACACUCAAUAUUCACUACAUAAUAAAUAGACAGUGUUACAUAGGUAGAGAAACCUACAAUGAGUACUCAUCACCAUUCUCAAACAGAAACAUAGCAGCGACUUAUACAUAGAACCUAUAGGCUCGCAGGGAAAGAGUAACAUGAUAAGUUCACAGCGGGUAGCAGCUCUUAUUUUACGUAUUACUCAAAAUCUCAAACUAACCAAAGUCACUCAGUUGGGAUGGGUAGGAGAUGGUGGUUUGUGGGGUGGCUUCUGGGUAGGAGCUGGUGGCUUCUUUGUUGGAGUUGAAGGAGGCAUAUUCUUCUGAGGUGGCUUGUAUGACUCUUCGGCACUCUCUGCAGGAGGGUGCCCAGGGUUGUGACCAGAAGGAGGUGGCUUCUGUCCCUUUGGUGGUUUGCCUAAUGGGCUUGGUGGCUUGUGCUCCGGGAGUUGUUUCUCUCCCUCGAGUAGGUUUCGAGUUUUGUCAGAUGGCUUGUGUUCUGGUGGUGGCUUCUCUCCCUGGGGUGGUUUGCCGAAUGGGCUUGGUGGCUUGUGUUCGGGGAGUGGCUUCUCUCCCUGGAGAAGGUUACGAGUUUUGUCAGAUGGCUUUUGUUCUGGUGGCGGCUUCUCUCCCUGGGGUGGUUUGCCAAAUGGGCUUGGUGGCUUGUGUUCGGGAACUGGCUUCUCUCCCUUGGGAGGUUCAUUUGGUGGCUGGUGUUCCGUAGGUGGUUCCUUCACCGGCGGCUUGUGCUCCGGAAGCGGCUUCUCUACCUGGAGAAGCUUACGAGUUUUGUCAGAUGGCUUGUGUUGUGGUGGUGGCUUCUCUCCCGGGGGUGGUUUGCCAAAUGGACUUGGUGGCUUGUGUUCGGGGAGUGGCUUCUCUCCAUGGGGAGGUUUAGUUGGUGGUUGGUGUUGCGUAGGUGGUUUCUGAAGUGGGGGAUGCUUGGGGUAGUCAGCAAUAGACGAGGUAGUGAGAACCACCAGUCCCAACAGCAACACUAGCAAGGAUGUUGAAGACAUCUUUGAGUUCAGGCUGAGAUCUGUGCAAGGAUAAAAGAUUUAGGUGGCCUUUUAUAGAGGGCUGGACCCAACACCCAUAUGACACGUGUCAUGCACUCAUGGUGACACAUAAUUCUAUGGGACCAUUUGGGUCCUACAGAAGUUGCAAAGUUGGACUAUUGAGGUGUGAUCACAACUUUUGUCCUACUUGCUUUCUCUGCGGCCAUUGCACGAUUUCCUUUAGCAUCAUUUUCUUGUCUAAAUAAGCGUAUUAUAUUUGUGGCAGACCGUCCACGUGUCAUAAACAGAUAUAUUAUAAUAAUGUAGUAUGCUUUUCUUCAACGGAACUUGACACUCUUCUAAGUCUUGUUUUAAAUACUGUGCAGGAUUACGUCAUAAGUUGCUUGUUCCAAGUCAAAAUUGGUGGGCAAACGUUGGCCUUUUUUCAUUUUCCCUAAUAUUAAUGCUCACCUGGGAUAGGCACUACAUGAUUUAUCUGCUCUUUUACUGUGAAGUUGCUUUGUGCAUGAGUUACACCUCCCCUGCACACCCUCAACAUUUGUUGCUCUGUUUUUCUUGUGUCCAGACGAGGAUAUUAAUUGGAGGCUGACAAAACGACUGCUAGCCAAGGAUUUACAAGGUCCUGGUUUGAGGCUUUCACGAAAGUAUUUUUGAAAAGAUACACAUAGAGAUUGCGCGUUCGGUGCAAUGCAACAAUGUGAGCCAUUCUGAAGUCUUAAAUUUCAGAUUAAUGAAUGCUACAAAAUUCUAAGAAGGGCCGUUUCCAAAUAUUUGAGUUCAUUCAUCCGAACAUCGGGUAUAUGCUUCUUUCUCUAGCCCCUCCUUGAAGGGAGGAGGGACAAUGUGAUCUGUAUCGUUAGAAGCUAUUCCAUGUCGUCAUCUUUGGGCUCAGUUCAAUACUAAAAGAUAUGGGCGGGGCCCUUAUCAUUUUAUAUUUCUUCUAGAAGGUUUAUUCUGGAAAUCUUUCACAGAAACAUAUCUUUUUCUUCUCUACGUGAUCCGUGGUUUGAAAGUUGGAAAAAUGGGUCCGUUAACAAGCCACCGAGUUGAAAAGUUGGAAAAAUGGCAACACCGCCAACCUCUUGUAUUCGAUAGUUAAAUAAAAGGUCACUGGAAGUGAGAUCCCUUUUGGCCUCUUGAUUUUCAUUCCAGCAUCUCUAUGGCCUGAUAAAUUAAAAAACUAAAAAAAAAGACAGUACGUGGGUUGGUGUUAAGCAUCAAGAGUCAAGACAUGAUAAUGGAGAGAAAGGAUAUUCAAAUUCCAGUUCUGACAACAUGAUUUUCUUUGCUGAACUACCAUAUUAUAUUUGAUCAAGAAAGAGUAGUGCAUGUGGCCAGGAUCAAGACAUACAUUAAUUUCCACAUGAUGAAGACAGUUUCUGAGAGUUUCUUCUAAAGCUCUUGCGCGAGUAGGCUUCAAGUCAAAAUCUCCCAUGUAAACACUGGUUUUUCUUUCAUUGCCACUAAGGAUGCAGUUAAUAUUGACUUAAGAUCCUACGUGAUAUAUUUUUUUAAAAGAGCUAUAUUGUAGAUAAUAUUUGAAAUAAUGUUGAUUCGUUGUGGAAAUAUAUUUGUAAGGAAAGUUGUUGACAAUUUAAUAUAGUAUAAGAAGAAAAAAGUUAUCAACUAGCUAGAGAUGAGUAUGUAAAGUGAGGCUCACGAUUCAACGCGUAAAUAUAAGAUAUUUUAAGGCUCAAUAGUUAUGAUAUCUAUUUUAUUUUUUGUAUCUCAUAUAUUCAAAGAUAUAGUAAAAUGAUUUUACAUAUAUAUAUAUAUAUAUAUAUGAACAUAACUAUUUGUGCCAAUUGAUUUUUAUCUUUAUUUUGUAUAUUAGUAAUUAUAUUAAAGUUUUUACUAAUAUAAUAACUAAUAUAAAAGCUUUUUCUAAAAGAGUCAACAGAGCAAAACACUUAUUAUAAAAAAUAAUUUUGAUUGAAGGUGGAGUCAAUUAUUCUUUAUUUAACAUGUAAUGCAUACGGCGUGUACUUCAUAACUAAAGUAUAUAAGUGUAACAUCUCUUAUAUAUUCUCAUUCAAUCUCGAAAGUGGAAAUUUUAAAAAGAUUAAACGGUUCAAAUUUGUCGUGCAUAAAGGGGAUCAUGUCACAUAAGCAAACCAUGGCAUACCAAAGACAUAGGUAUGGACUAAGAAUUUUUUUCAAAUAAGUUUCUUAUUAGGGUACAUUAAUAGGUGACUUUUUAUGACAUAUCAAAGGAGUCAAGUGCACCAAUAAAAACAUAUAUAGAAAAUUCAUGCAUGACAUGUAUCACUAAGAGAAGAUUGACUUGAUAGAGUUUAAUCCAAAUAGGAGAUUGUUAAAAGGUGUCUCAAAUUCUUGAUUGAUAUAUAUUUUUUUUAUUAAAAAGGUUAUUAUAUAGAUAUUUCAAUAGACUAUUAAUUCUUUGUAAAAAUAGUUAUAUAAUGAGGAUGGUGAUUAAAAAUAUCUCUAUCAAUAUUUUGGAUUAUAAAAAGAAAAAAAAUGAGAUAAUGAUAAACAUAUAAAACUUGUACAAGUAGAUAAAGAUGUGAUGAAAGACACUUGAUGAAUGAAGGCUUUGUAUUUCAAGAUAUAAAUAUAUGGAGCAAAACUCUUAAUUAUAUGAUCAAAUGAUUCUCUCAUAUUCAUGAAUAUAAGCAGGAUUGGGGAACCAUGAUAGAAUCUUAUAUGCCUCUCCAUGUAGAGUGAUCGAUGUUUAUCUUCAUAUUUUACACCAGUGAAUGACAUUGAAACUCUUAUUGAUAAAAGGGAAAAGGCAUGGCCUCCACCCCAAGAAAAACAAGUAACCUCGGUUUAAAUCACUAGUCUACACCCCGAAGAGAGAACUAGCCAAACCUACUAAAAGAGAAACUUAACAAUUUAGAAAGAAACCGUCCAUGAUAAAGGGCCCCUAAAGGUCCAAUUCAGUGAGGUCGUGAACAAAAACACUUUCAUGUCAAAACAGAGAUAGGUACCACCAAAAUGUAAAGGGAAAGAUGUAAACCACGUCGAACUUUGGUAAUCAAUGGUAAAGAUAGCAUGAUAGCUAAAAGCACUAAAGCUGUGCUUGGUAUGCAAAAAUGAAAAGUGGAAAUCAGCGUCUUAUUCUUUUUCACCUUUAUUCACAUAUUAGGAUAACUAAUAUCUAAUGUUUUUUAUGUCUCAAAUUCUAUUCCAUGUUAUGGUAAACUUUCAUCUUGUUUAGAUCACUUUUGUCUGGUUUGGGCUCAAGACGAUAAGCCUAUAGAGACUUCAUAUUGGGUUGAAUCGAUGCCCUUGAUCUGAUCUGUUCGUUAGAAAAAUCUGAAUUAUUAUAAGCAUUUAGAUAAAAAAUAAAUAAAUGUGAAACACAAACUACUCCCUGCACAACCUUGACCCUAGUUACUCAGUUUCACUGCUCACAGGACUAACCUCUCCAUUCAGUCGAAAUGAAUUGUAACAAGAAGAUUUUUGACAGGAGGACGGUAGUUUAAAAUAAUAAUUUCUAAAGUACUUUUGUGAAAAAAAAUAAUUCCAAACGUGGAUUUUAUCAAGUAAAAAGAAAAAAAAAAGUUAUUUUCUUUUAAAAUCUGUUCUUCUAAAGAUGAUAUAUAUACCAAAAAAAAAAAUUGUUUUCUGAAGGUAAAAUUUUUAAAAUUCAUUUUUAAAAAAAUUUACACACUAAAAUUAUCUUUUCAAGAGAAGAUUUUUUUAAUUUUAAAUAAUUAUUAAUUUAUAAUUAAUUUGUUAUUAAUUAUUUAUUAAUUUUUUUAUUUGAAAAAUGCAUUUAUAAAAAACAAAUUUGUUAUUAAUUUAUUAAAUAAUUUUUACAAAAUAAAUAAUUUUUUUUUAUUUUAAUUUUAAAAUUAAUUUUAUUAUAUAAAUUUUAAAAUUAAAAAUAUUAAUAUUUAAUUUAAAAUUUAACUAUAAAAGGAAUAAAAUAUAGAAAAAUAAAUUAAUUUAUUAUUCAAUAAAUUAAUUUUCAAUAAAAUUUUCAGCAUUAAGAGAUAAAUUUUUAAGUAUUAAUCAAUUUAAAAAGAAAUAAUGAUCAUUUGUAUAUUAAGAUAUUUUAUUUAGUAAUUAUGAAUGAUAAACAACUAAAGUAAUUUGAAAAAAUAAUAAAAUAUUUAAAAAAUAAUAAUUUAAUACACGUAAAAUUAGAAAUGAUUAACUAUUUUUUAUUAAGAAAAAAUUGAGGAAAUAUUUUGUUAUUUAAAAUUUUUUAUUUGUUUUCAAUUUUUAAUGUUAUAGGUUUCAAGAAAAUUGAUCAAAUAAAAAUUAAGAAGUCAUUUUUUCAAAAACUAUAUAUCUAAAUAAAAGCCUUGAAAUUCAAAUACACAAUAUCAUAAAUAUAAACACCAAGUCAAUCCUUAAUUAUCAAAUGUUUUUAAUAUUAAAGAAUCAAAAUCACCUACUAUCAUGAUAAUAAGAAAACCAAUAAUAUUGUUCAUAUAAAUACUAAAAAGCUAACAAAUAUCCCAAACAAUUAAUAAAGUAUCAAACAUGAUAAAAAGUCAAUUAUUAUCAUGAAUGCAAAAAAUCAAUAAUUUUGUUUAUAUGAACCAUCAACAAAGAAAAAAAAAAUCAAUAUCUAAAUAUUAAACAUAAUUUAUAUUUUUAUAAAUAUUAUUGUUGAUAAAUAUCUUAACAAUUAUAAUUUUAGUAAAUAAAAUUAAUUAAUUUUAGUUUAAGAAUUAUUUUUUUAUACUUUCGUAUUCUUAUCAAAAAUCCCCAUUUUGCAUGUCUCCUUUGGCAUGACUUUCUUACCUAAACAAGCAUAUAUAUAUAUAUAUAUAUAUAAAAUAUUUGGUUAAGAAAGAGUACUAAAGUUUAUAUGGCACACAUCAAGAUAGAAACAGAAGUGGAAGAUAAUCCAAAUGUAUGAACAGAUAUAUUAUAUCCAUGUAGUGGUAGUGACUUCAUUAUUUACUUUUAUCUAAUGGAGCAUGACACACUUCUUCUGAAUAUUUUGCACGAUUAUGUUAUGUGUCAGCUUGUUCUAAGUCAAAACUAGUGAUAAAAAUCGGUUUUUUUUGCAUUUCCUUCAUGAAGAUGGCACCUGGAUGGGGCACUACAUGAGUGGCAUAGCACGAAGUGAUUUAUCUGCUCCCUUUACUAUAAAGUGCUUUGUGUAUAAGUUACACCUCCCCUGCACUGCCUCAACAUUUGUUGUUCUGUCUUCCGUCUGUCCAAACGAGGACAAACGUAUGUUGUAGGUUGACAAAACCACAGCUAGCCUAGGAUUUGCAAGGAUCUAGUUUGAUUCGUAUGCAAAAGGAUUGGUGAAAAGAUUCACAAAGAUAAUGCUUUUUGCAAUGCAAUCUUGUUCUAAUUCAACAGUGUGGACCAUUUUCAUGUAAUGCUUCAACUAGAUGUCAGUUUCAUGAAUUUUUGUUCAUCUAAUUGAUCACUGGAUAGGCCAUAACCCGAAGAAAUUCAAAAUUCCCUUCAGUACUGUAGCUAAGGAAAGAUCCCUAUCUACCACUGGGAUUUUAAGAGGGUAAAAAUGUAGGUGGGUGCCUAUAUCAUUUGCACUUCACUAUAGGCCUCUUUGGGAAGAUUUCUUCUGAAGACAUUUCAAAGAAACAUAUUUUUCUCUUCUCUCCGUAAACGGCAGCUGCAAGUCAGUCCAUUCACAGGCCACCGAGUUGAAAAGGCUGGAAAAUUGGCCAAAGCACCCGCCUCCUGGAUUCCAUGGGUAAGGAAAAGGUCACUGGAGGUGUGAUCCCUGUUGGCCUCUUGAUUUCCAUUCCGCCAUCUAUAUGACCUGAUAACCCAAAAACACAGAAGGAAAACGUCACCUGGGUUCAUAGUAAGCAUCAAGUCAUGAUAGAGACCAGACAACAUGACCAACAAAGAGUAGCGAAUGGGGCCAACAUCAAGCCCCAUUACGGUUAGAAGAUGGAAGAAGUAGAAGACAAUCCAAUUCUGAUAGAUUCGGGCAAAUGUAGUGCUGUUCAAACUUAAUCAUUUACUAUUUCUUCAUGAAUCACGGCAUUUUUCUUCUGAAAAUUUUCCAAGAUUAGGCCUCUGAAGAAAAAUUUCAUAUGUAAAUUGGUAUAUUAAGGAAAAGGCGUUACAAAGGUGAAAAAAAACCAAUCAAAUCUUAUAUAUGACAUCUCAAAAAUAUGAACUUGCUAUAAAUAUUUAAAAUCAAAAUCUUGCACAUCACCUCGUAGUACGAACUUGCUAUAAAACUUGAAAAUCAAGAAGAAAGGGGCAGUAUUGGACGAGACUACUUAGCACAUAUUAUUAUGAUGUUUUUUCAUUUUCUUAAUGUUGUUUUUAUGUCUUAAAUUCUAUUAUUCUAUGUUACGGUAAACAUUCAUCUUGUUUGUGUGGAAUAGGAUCACUUUUCUCUGGGUUGAGUCGAUGCCCUUAGUUAAUUUGUUCAUUUGAAUAAACUAAAUUAUUAUAAGUAUUUAGAUAAGAAAAACGUGAUACAUAAAUUACGCCUCUCGGCACAACUUCAACACUGGUUACUCUGUUUCAGUUUCCUCACACAAGAUUAUUGGUUCUAGGGUUUAUUUGGUUUUGGUUUGAUUCUAAUUGCUAAACUUUCUCAAGGAAGAUGUUAUAUAGGGAGUGAGAAACCUUCACUCUUGGCUACCUCCAAGAGAAGAGCAAGUGGUCUGAAUCAAAGAUAUACUGCUCACUUUUUCUUCUUCUAAGGACAGCUAUGACCUUGCUUUAAGGUUCGAAUAGCCUAAUGCAACCUCCCAUUUCUCAAGUCAGCUGAUGAUGUAAGUCACCUUGGCUUUCCACAUUCAUACGGUGAGGACGUUUGUGGGUGUAAUUCUCUUAACAGUUUUCAUUUUAUAUGGAAAAAUUCAUAAUUAAGGGUAAUUACUGAUUCCAUUUGACAGUGACCAAGUUUAAAAUAUUAAUUCAUAUAUUAAAUGCACAUUAAAAAAUCAUGGAAUAAAUAUAUUUACUAAUAUAUAGUUCUUUUGCCAUGUUCUGUCACAGAAGCAUCGAACUUUCCCUAGAAAUUUUUGCAUGGUAUUCUACUUAUGAUUUUGAAAACUCUAGGCACCUGAGGCCACUAAUUGCAUGGUUGGAUGAGGAGCUGCAUGAGAUUAUGUAUCGUGUUGUUCCUUAACUACAAAUAUCAGUUUUAAGUAGCAUCUCCAUGUGACAUUUUCCUGAUGCAAUUUCGCUGUCCACCAACAAAUUUCACCAUGCAGCAAGAUGAAUUGUAAUUUCUUUAUUGUUAUCAACAGCUUUAAUUAAUCUUGAUAUAUAUAUAUAACUUAGUAGAAGUAUAUUAAUCUAGAUUGUAGUUGCACUAAGAUAAUAGGCAAUAUUAUAACAGUGCCACAAUGCUCAUCGCCAAAUAGAAAGGUAGAAAAACUACAAUGAGUAACUCACAACAUUCUCAAACAGGACAUAGCGGCGACUGAUACAUAGAACACUAUUGGCACUCAGGAAAUGAUAAGAUCAGUGCCCAGCAGGCAGCACGUCUUAUUUUACAUACUACUUAAAACUAACCAAAGUCAUUCAGUUGGGAUGGGUGGGAGAUGGUGGUUUGUGCGGUGGCUUUUGGGUAGUUGGUGGCUUCUUUCCUGGAACUGAUGGUUUUUUUGUUGGAGUUGAAGGAGGCUUAAUCGUCUGAGGUGGCUUGUAUGAGUCUUCAGCACUCUCUGCGGGAGGGUGCCCAGGGUUGUGACCAUAAUGGGGUGGCUUCUCUCCCUUAGUUGGUUUGCCAAGUGGGCUGGCUGGCUUGUGCUCCGGGAGCGGCUUCUCUCCCUUAGGUGGUUUGCCAAAUGGGCUUGCUGGCUUGUGCUCUGGGAGCGGCUUCUCUCCCUCAAGAAGUUUACGGGUUUUGUCAGAUGGCUUGUGUUCUGGUGGUGGCUUCUCUCCUUGGGGUGGUUUGCCAAAUGGACUUGGUGGCUUGUGUUCGGGGAGUGGCUCCUCUCCCUUGGGAGGUUUAGUUGGUGGCUGGUGUUCCAUAGGUGGUUUCUCAACCGGGGGCUUGUUCUCCGUUGGUGGUUUAUGAACUGGGGGAUGCUUGGGGUAGUCAGCAAGAGACGGGGUGGUGAGAACCACCAGUCCCAGCAGCAACACUAGCAAGUAUGUGGAAGAGUACAUCUUUGAGUUCAGGCUGAGAUUUGUGCGAGACUUGAAGAAUUAGGUGGCCUUUUAUAGCUGGCUGCACCCAACACUCACAUGACACGUAUCAUGGUGACACAUGUGCUAUGGGUCCAUUUGGGUCCUACAGAAGCUGAAAACUUUUGACUAUUGAGGUGUGGUCACAACUUUUGUCCCUAUUGCUUUCUCCGCAACCGUUUUACAUGUUUCCUUUGGCAUAAUUUUCUAAGCUAAACAAGCAUAUAUCAUAUUUGGUUAAGAAAGAGUAAAGUGUAUAUGGCACACAUCAAGGAAGAGAAACAGAAAAAGUGGGAGACAAUCAAUUGUGAUAAACAGAUAUAUUAUAUUCAUGUAGUACUAGUGACUUUAUCAUUUACUUUUAUCCAAUAGAUCAUCACUCUUUCUUCUAAAUAUUUUGGAGGAUAAUGGUACAUGUUGCUUGUUUCCAAGUCAAAAUUGGUGGCAAAAAUCGGCAUGAUACGAAAGGAUUGGUGAAAAGAUUCACAUAGAUGGUGCUUUGUGCAAUGCAGUCUUGCUCUAAUUCAACAGAGUGGACCAUGGUGAUGUAUUUUAAAUUUUAAAUUUUAAAUUAAUGCAUGCUUCAAAGUUUUAACUAGAUGUCACUUCCAUGGAUUUUUGUUCAUUUAAUUGAGCACAGGAUAGGCUAUCAAACUUGAAGUAAUAUAAAAAUCCCUUCAUUACUGUAACUAAUGAAAGAUCAUUAUCUGCGCUUGGUAUUUUGCCAAGGUAUUUGCUGCUCUUUCUAGCCCUGUCUUACAGUUAAGGACAAUGUGAUCUAGUUAACCUUAGAAGCUAUUCCAUGUCAGAUACAAGAGAUCAAGCACAUUAUCUUUGGGCUCAGUUCAAAACUAUAAUAUAUGGGUGGGGUGGAGGCCCAUAUCAUUUGCAUAUCACCACUAUUGGUUUAGUUUGGAAGGUUUCUUCUGGAAGAUUGCUGCUUUCUGGAAUCAUUUCAAAGAAAUAUAUCUUUUUGUUCUCUUGGUGACGAGCAGCGGCAAUCAAGUCUGUUGACAAACAACCGAGUUGAAAAGUUUGAAAAUUGGUCACAGCCCACGUCCAUGGUUAAGGAAAAGGUCACUGGAAGUGAUCCCUUCUGGGCCUCUUGAUUUCCAUUCUGACAUCUAUAUGACCUGAUAAAUAGAAAGAAAAAAAAACAGAAGAAAAGCGGCACCCGGGUUCAUAGUAAGCAUCAAGACAGGAUACUGAAAGAAGGGAGAAAGGAGAUUGCAAGUCCAAUCCUGAUAAAAUGAUCAACAAAGAGUAUCAAAAUGGGGCCAACAUAAAGACCCAUUGAGGUUAGCAGAUGGCAUGGCAUUUUUCUCCUUAAGUUUUCCAUGAUUAGACUUGAAGUCAAAAUUUCACAUGUAAAUUUGUAUUUCUACAUUUCCCACUGACGACACCCAACUUCAACUUGAGUUAGAAUAACAUUGUGUGAACUUAUCUGGCCCUCAAAAUUUACUGUGAAGUGCUUUCUGCGUGUGAAGAUUCAGAAAAGCACCAAGGGAACAUGUAUGGUCUGCCUUUUUCUGAUGUUAUGUUUGUCUCUAAUUCUGUUCCAUGUCAUGGUAAAUGUUCACAUUGCUUGUAUGGAACACACCAGGAUCACUUUUUCGGGUUUAUUUUGAGGCUUCAUAUUGGGUUCAUAUUGGGUUCAAUGCUUUUAAUGUGUUCAUUAGACAAAUCUGAAUUAUCAUAUGCAUUUAGAUAAGAACAAUAAUGUGAAACCCUAGUUACACCUCCCCUGCAUAACCCCAACCCUGCUUACUCUAUUUCAGUUUACUCACACAAGUUUUACCGGUUCUUAUAAGUCAAGAAAAGGCAACUGAUGUUGGAUUGACUCUCUUCCAUGUAUAAAAAGCAACUUUUAUAUAUACAUAAAAUAACUUCUUCCCCUCACCAAUGUGGGAUAUCAUGGAUUUAUUCUGGAAACACAUCAAAGGAACAUCUUUUCUCUUGGGUGACCCUAAGUGGUGAGUCAGACCAUUUGCAUGCCAUUGAGUUGCACAGUUGGAUAAAUGCACCUACCUCCUGGGCUCCAGAGUUAAAAGGGUGGAUCCCUGGAUCGCAACCCUCUUGGCAUCUUGGUUUCCAUUCCAACAUCCACAUGACUUGACAAAACAAAAAACAGAAUAAAAUCAUCACUAUUUUCAUGCUAAGCACCAAUACAUGAUGGAAAUCAUUGCUUAAAGAUUUGGGGUCAUUUAGGUUUUGACUGCCUCCUAACACCUCACCUAAUCACAAGUUUUUAUGCUUACAAAUCAAAUAUCGUUCUUCAUUAUAUUAAAAUCAUUUUAAGAUUUCAGAUCCAUCUGCUAAUUAUGAUUAUGAUAACAUUAAUUCACCUGUGCUUCUCAUUUUCGACACACAAGGCAUCUAGGUUUGCAGGAUUUCCUUAUUAGAUGAGAUAAAUGAGUACGCAUGGUUAUGUAUGCAGCAUUCAUUAACCAUGGUAUGUGACAUUUAGAAUUAAGAUAGCAAGCAAACUUUCCCUGCAGCUUGAGUAAAUUGUGAUUUCUUAGCCUCUAUGAGUGGUUCCCAAAUCAAAUUAACAUAGUGAAAUAUACGUAGUCCAGUGAAAGGAAAUGUAAAUUAUAAACUAACAGCACUACACUACUGGUAACACUCGAUACUCUCUAUAUAAUGCAAUGAAAUAUACGUUAUACGUUGCUUGUUCCAAGUCAAAAUUUGUGGCCAAACGUUGGCCUUUUUUCAUUUUCCCUAAGAUUAAUGCUCACCUGGGAUAGGCACUACAUGAUUUAUCUGCUCUUUUACUGUAAAGUUGCUUUGUGUAUGAGUUACACCUCCCCUGCACACCCUCAACAUUUGUUGCUCUGUUUUCCUUGUGUCCAGACGAGGAUAUUAAGUGGGGGCUGACAAAACGACUGCUAGCCAAGGAUUUACAAGGUCCUGGUUUGACGCUUCCGCGAAAGUAUUUUUGAAAAUAUACACAUAGAGAUUGCGCGUUCGGUGCAAUGCAACAAUGUGAGCCAUUCUGAAGUUUUUAAUUUCAGAUUAAUGAAUGCUACAAAAUUCUAAGAAGGGCCGUUUCCAAAUAUUUGAGUUCAUUUAUCCGAACAUCGGAUAAGUAAUGAUCAUAGAUUAUUAUUAUUAUCUGACGUUCUUAUAAUGGUUGGCAUUAUAAGAGGGUAUAUGCUUCUUUCUCUAGCCCCUCCUUCAAGGGAGGGACAAUGUGAUCUGUAUCGUUAGAAGCUAUUCCAUGUCGUCAUCUUUUGGCUUAAGUCAAUACUAAAAUAUAUGGGCGGGGCCCCUGUCAUUUUAUAUUUCUUCUAGAAGGUUUGUUCUGGAAAUCUUUCACCGAAACAUAUCUUUUUCUUCUCUACGUGAUCCGUGGUUGGAAAGUUAGAAAAAUGGGUCCGUUCACAAGCCACCGAGUUGAAAAGUUGGAAAAAUGGCAACACCGCCAACCUCUUGUAUUCGAUAGUUAAAUAAAAGGUCACUGGAAGUGAGAUCCCUUUUGGCCUCUUGAUUUUCAUCCCAGCAUCUCUAUGUCCUGAUAAACUAAAAAACUAAAAAAAAAACAGUACGUGGGUUGGUGUUAAGCAUCAAGAGUCAAGACAUGAUAAUGGAGAGAAAGGAUAUUCAAAUUCCAGUUCUGACAACAUGAUUUUCUUUCCUGAACAACCAUGUUAUAUUUGAUCAAGAAAGAGUAGUGCAUGUGGCCAGGAUCAAGACAUACAUUAAUUUCCACAUGAUGAAGACAGUUUCUGAGAGUUUCUUCUAAAGCUCUUGCGCUAGUAGGCUUCAAGUCAAAAUUUCCCAUGUAAACACUGGAUUUUCUUUAAUUGCCACUAAGGAUACAGUUAAAAUUGACUUAAAAUCCUACGUGAUAUAUAUCUUUAACAAAAGUAUAUUGUAUAUAAUAUUUGAAAUAAUGUUGAUUCGUUGUGGAAAUAUGUUUGUAAGGAAAGUUGUUGACAAUUUAAUAUAGUAUAAGAAGAAAAAAGUUAUCAACUAGAGAUGAGUAUGUAAAGUGAGGCUCACGAUUCAACGCGUAAAUAUAAGAUAUUUUAAGGCUCAAUAGUUAUGAUAUCUAUUUUAUUUUUUGUAUCCCAUAUAUUCAAAGAUACAGUAAAAUGAUUUUAUAUAUAUGAACAUAGCCGAUAGUAUCAUGUUAAAACCUUAUAUGACUCUUUGUGCCAAUUGAUUUUUAUCUUUAUUUUGUGUAUUAGUAAUUAGUAUUAAAGUUUUUACUAACAUAAUAAUUGAUAUAAAAGCUUUUUCCAAAAGAGUCAAACAGAGCAAAACACUUAUUAUAAAAAGAAUUUUGAUUGAAGGUGGAGUCAAUUAUUCUUUAUUCAACAUGUGAUGCAUACAGCGGGUACUUCAUAACUAAAGUAUAUAAGUGCAACAUCUCUUAUACAUUCUCAUUCAAUCUCGAAAGUGGAAAAUUUUAAAAGAUUAAAUGGUUCAAAUUUUCCGUGCAUAAAGGGGAUCAUGUCACAUAACCAAACCAUGGCAUACCAAAGCCAUGAUAUGGACUAAGAAUUUUGUUAAAAUAAGUUUCUUAUUAGGGCACAUUAUGUGACUAUUUAUGACAUAUCAAAGGAGUCAAGUGCAUCAAUAAAGACAUAGAAAAUUCAUGCAUCACAUGUACCACUAAGAGAAAAUUGACUUGAUAGAGUUUAGUCCAAAUAGGAGAUUGUUAAAAGGUGCAUCAAAUUCUUGAUUGAUAUAUAUUUUUUUUAUUAGAAAGGUUAUUAUAUAGAUAUUUCAAUAGACUAUUAAUCCUUUGUAAAAAUAGUUAUAUAAUGAGGAUGGUGAUUAAAAAUAUCUCUAUCAAUAUUUUGGAUUAUAAAAAGAAAAAAAAUAUGAGAAAAUGAUAAACAUAUAAAACUUGUACAAGUAGAUAGAGAUGUGAUGAAAGACACUUGAUGAAUGGAGGCCUUGUAUUUCAAGAUGUAAAUAUAUGGAGCAAAACUCUUAAUUAUAUGAUCAAAUGAUUCUCUCAUAUUCAUGAACAUAAGCAGGAUUGGGGAACCAUGAUAGAAUCUUAUAUGCCUCUCCAUGUAGAUUGAUCGAUGUUUAUCUUCAUAUUUUACACCAAUGAAUGACAUUGAAACUCUGAUUGAUAAAAGGGAAAAAGCAUGGCCUCCACCACAAGAAAAACAAGUAACCUCGGUCUAAAUCACUAGUCUACACCCCGAAGAGAGAACUAGCCAAACCUACUAAAAGAGAAACUUACCAAUUUAGAAAGAAAUCUUCCAUGAUAAAGGGCCCCUAAAAGUCCAAUUCAGUCAGGUUGUGAACAAAAACACCUUCAUGUCAAAACAGGAAUAGGUACCACCAAAAUGUAAAGGGAAAGAUGUAAACCAAGUCGAACUUUGGUAAACAAUGGUAAAGAUAGCAUGAUAGCUAAAAGCACUAAAGCUGUGCUUGGUAUGCAAAAAUGAAAAGUGGAAAUCAGCGUCUUAUUCUUUUUCUCCUUUAUUCACAUAUUAGGAUAACUAAUAUCUAAUGUUUUUUUUAUGUCUCAAAUUCUAUUCCAUGUUAUGGUAAACUUUCAUCUUGUUUAAGUGGAAGAGUAGGAUCACUUUUGUCUGGUUUGGGCUCAAGACGAUAAGCCUAUAGAGACUUCAUAUUGGGUUGAAUUGAUGCCCUUGAUCCGAUCAGUUCGUUAGAAAAAUCUGAAUUAUUAUAAGCAUUUAGAUAAAAUAAAUAAAUAAAUGUGAAACAGAGACUAUUCUCUGCACAACCUUGACCCUAGUUACUCAGUUUCACUGCUCACGGGACUAACCUCUCCAUUCAGUCGAAAUGAAUUGUAAUUUCUUUACUGGUAGCAGUAGUACUUUUCAUAGCAAAGAUAAUAGUAAAUAUGAAAUAUAAAUAUAUAGAAGGAAAUCUGGAUUGUAGAUAGCACCAUAAGUAACACUCAAUAUUUACUACAUAAUAAAAGAGAUAGUGUUACAAAGGUAGAGAAACCUACAAUGAGUACUCAUCACCAUUCUCAAACAGAAACAUAGCAGUGACUUAUACAUAGAACCUAUAGGCUCGCAGGGAAAGAGUAACAUGAUAAGUGCACAGCGGGUAGCAGCUCUUAUUUUACGUAUUACUCAAAAUCUCAAACUAACCAAAGUCACUCAGUUGGGAUGGGUAGGAGAUGGUGGUUUGUGGGGUGGCUUCUGGGUAGGAGCUGGUGGCUUCUUUGUUGGAGUUGAAGGAGGCGUAAUCUUCUGAGGUGGCUUGUAUGAGUCUUUGGCACUCUCUGCAGGAGGGUGCCCAGGGUUGUGACCGGAAGGAGGUGGCUUCUGUCCCUUUGGUGGUUUGCCUAAUGGGCUUGGUGGCUUGUGCUCCGGGAGUUGUUUCUCUCCCUCGAGUAGGUUUCGAGUUUUGUCAGAUGGCUUGUGUUCUGGUGGUGGCUUCUCUCCCUGGGGUGGUUUGCCGAAUGGGCUUGGUGGCUUGUGUUCGGGGAGUGGCUUCUCUCCCUUGGCAGGUUCAGUUGGUGGCUGGUGCUCCGUAGGUGGUUUCUUCACCGCCGGCUUCUCUCCCUGGAGAAGGUUACGAGUUUUGUCAGAUGGCUUCUGUUCUGGUGGCGGCUUCUCUCCCUGGGGUGGUUUGCCAAAUGGGCUUGGUGGCUUGUGUUCGGGAACUGGCUUCUCUCCCUUGGCAGGUUCAGUUAGUGGCUGGUGUUCCGUAGGUGGUUUCUUCACCGGCGGCUUGUGCUCCGGAAGCGGCUUCUCUACCUGGAGAAGCUUACGAGUUUUGUCAGAUGGCUUGUGUUGUGGUGGUGGCUUCUCUCCCUGGGGUGGUUUGCCAAAUGGACUUGGUGGCUUGUGUUCGGGGAGUGGCUUCUCUCCAUUGGGAGGUUUAGUUGGUGGUUGGUGUUCCGUAGGUGGUUUCUGAAGUGGGGGAUGCUUGGGGUAGUCAGCAAGAGACGAGGUAGUGAGAACCACCAGUCCCAGCAGCAAUACUAGCAAGGAUGUGGAAGACAUCUUUGAGUUCAGGCUGAGAUUUGUGCAAGGCUAGAAGAAUUAGGUGGCCUUUUAUAGCGGGCUGGACCCAACAACCAAAUGACACGUAUCAUGAUACACAUAUGUGUUAUAAGAUCCUUGUGGGUCCUACAGAAGUUGAAAACUUUGACAAUUGAGGUGUGAUUACAACUUUUGUCCCUAUUGCUUUCUCGUCAGCCGUUUUGCAAGAUUUUUGACAGGAGGACGGUAGUUUAAAAUAAUAAUUUCUAAAGUACUUUUGUGAAAAAAAAUAAUUCCAAACGUGGAUUUUAUCAAGUAAAAAAAACAAAAAAAAGUUAUUUUCUUUUAAAAUCUUUUCUUCAUGAUUCAUAUACCAAAAAAAGAAUUGUUUUCUGUAGGUAAAAUUUUUAAAAUUCAUUUUUAAAAAAAAAAAAUUACACACUAAAAUUAUCUCUUCAAGAAAAUAUUUUUUAAAUUUUAAAUAAUUAUUAAUUUAUAAUUAAUUUUUUAUUAAUUAUUUAUUAAAUUUAUAUGUGAAAAAUGCAUUUAUAAAAAACAAAUUUUUUAUUAAUUUAUUAAAUAAUUAUUUACAAAAUAAAUAAUUUUGCUUUAUUUUAAUUUUAAAAUUAAUUUUAUUAUAUAAAUUUUAAAAUUAAAAAUAUUAAUAUUUAAUUUAAAAUUUAACUAUAAAAGGAAUAAAAUAUAGAAAAAUAAAUUAAUUUAUUAUUCAAUAAAUUAAUUUUCAAUAAAAUUUUCAGCAUUAAGAGAUAAAUUUUUAAGUAUUAAUCAAUUUAAAAAAUAAUAAUAAUCAUUUGUAUACUAAGAUAUUUUAUUUAGUAAUUAUGAAUGAUAAACAACUAAAGUAAUUUGAAAAAAUAAUAAAAUAUUUAAAAAUAAUAAUUUAAUACACUUAAAAUUAGAAAUGAUUAACUAUUUUUUAUUAAGAAAAAAUUGAAGAAAUAUUUUGUUAUUUAAAAUUUUUUAUUUGUUUUCAAUUUUAAAUGUUAUAGGUUUCAAGAAAAUUGAUCAAAUAAAAAUUAAGAAGUCAUUUUUUCAAAAACUAUAUAUCUAAAUAAAAGCCUUGAAAUUCAAAUACACAAUAUCAUAAAUAUAAACACCAAGUCAAUCCUUAAUUAUCAAAUGUUUUUAAUAUUAAAGAAUCAAAAUCACCUACUAUCAUGAUAAUAAGAAAACCAAUAAUAUUGUUCAUAUAAAUACUAAAAAGCUAACAAAUAUCCCAAACAAUUAAUAAAGUAUCAAACAUGAUAAAAAGUCAAUUAUUAUCAUGAAUGCAAAAAAUCAAUAAUUUUGUUUAUAUGAACCAUCAACAAAGAAAAAAAAAAUCAAUAUCUAAAUAUUAAACAUAAUUUAUAUUUUUAUAAAUAUUAUUGUUGAUAAAUAUCUUAAUAAUUAUAAUUUUUUAUAUAUUAAAUUUAGUAAAUAAAAUUAAUUAAUUUUAUAAUAUAAGAUAUAUAUAAUAAUUAAGAGACUAUUUGUCCCAAACAAUUUAUUUAUUUUUUUUUUAGGAAAUUGUCUCUUCAAGAGACGACUUCUCCCAACAUUUUUAAAAAAAAAAAAAAAAACAUCUAUUCAAAAGACGAUUUCUCCUCAUUUUUUAAAAAUGAAUUUUAGAAAUCAUAUUUUCAAAAAUGAAUUUUAGAAAUCAUAUUUUCAAAAGACGAUUUUUUUUUAUAUAAAUUAUUUUUUAAAAUGACGAUUUUAAAAGGAAAUAACGAUCUCUCUCCUACUUGGCAAAAACUAUGGUAAAUUUGGAAUUAUUUCUUCCACAACCAUAGUUUAAGAAUUAUUUUUUUAUACUUUCGUAGACUUAUCAAAAAUCCCUAUUUUGCAUGUCUCAUUUGGCAUGACUUUCUUACCUAAACAAGCAUAUAUAUAUAUAUAUAUAUAUAUAUCACUUUUGUCUGGGUUGAGUCAAUGCCCUUAACUAAUUUGUUCAUUUGAAUAGUCUAAAUUAUUAUAAGCUUUUAGUUAAGAAAAAUGUGAAACAUAAAUUACACCUCUCGGCACAACUUCGACACUGGUUACUCUGUUUCAGUUUAUUCACACAAGAUUAUUGGUUCUAGGGUUUAUUUGGUUUUGGUUUGAUUCUAAUUGCUAAACUUUCUCAAGGAAGAUGUUAUAUAGGGAGUGAGAAACCUUCACUCCUGGCUACCUCCAAGAGAAGAGCAAGUGGUCUGAAUCAAAGAUAUACUGCUCACUUUUUCUUCUUCUAAGGACAGCUAUGACCUUGCUUUAAAAUGUUCGAAUAGCCUAAUGCAACCUCCCAUUUCUCAAGUCAGCUGAUGAUGUAAGUCACCUUGGCUUUCCACAUUCAUACGGUGAGGACGUUUGUGGGUGUAAUUCUCUUAACAGUUUUCAUUUUAUAUGGAAAAAUUCAUAAUUAAGGGUAAUUACUGAUUCCAUUUGACAGUGACCAAGUUUAAAAUAUUAACUCAUGUAUUAAAUGCACAUUAAAAAAUCAUGGAAUAAAUAUAUUUACUAAUAUAUAGUUCUUUUGUCAUGUUCUGUCACAGAAGCAUCGAACUUUCCCUAGAAAUUUUUGCAUGGUAUUCUGCUUAUGAUUUUGAAAACUCUAGGCACCUAAGGCCACUGAUUGCAUGGUUGGAUGAGGAGCUGCAUGAGAUUAUGUAUCCUGUUGCUCCUUAACUACAAAUAUCAGUUUUAAGUAGCAUCUCCAUGUGACAUUUUCCUGAUGCAAUUUCGCUGUCCACCAACAAAUGUCUCCAUGCAGCUAGAUGAAUUGUAAUUUCUUUGUUGUUAUCAACAGCUUUAAUUAAUCUUGAUAUAUAUAUAACUUAGUAGAAGUAAUUAAUCUAGAUUGUAGUUGCACUAAGAUAAUAGGCAAUAUUAUAACAGUGCCACAAUGCUCAUCGCCAAAUAGAAAGGUAGAAAAACUACAAUGAGUAACUCACACAACAUUCUCAAACAGGACAUAGCGGCGACUGAUACAUAGAACACUAUUGGCACUCAGGAAAUGAUAAGAUCAGUGCCCAGCAGGCAGCACGUCUUAUUUUACAUACUACUUAAAACUAACCAAAGUCAUUCAGUUGGGAUGGGUGGGAGAUGGUGGUUUGUGCGGUGGCUUCUUUCCUGGAACUGGUGGUUUUUUUGUUGGAGUUGAAGGAGGCUUAAUCGUCUGAGGUGGCUUGUAUGAGUCUUCAGCACUCUCUGCAAGAGGGUGCCCAGGGUUGUGACCAUAAUGAGGUGGCUUCUCUCCCUUAGGUGGUUUGCCAAGUGGGCUGGCUGGCUUGUGCUCCGGGAGCGGCUUCUCUCCCUUAGGUGGUUUGCCAAAUGGGCUUGCUGGCUUGUGCUCUGGGAGCGGCUUCUCUCCCCCAAGAAGUUUGCGGGUUUUGUCAGAUGGCUUGUGUUCUGGUGGUGGCUUCUCUCCUUGGG